rnacentral:lncRNA from 1 species
UCCCACUAGCCACAACGAGUGGAAAGAUAUUAUUCCCCUAUUUUUAUUUAUUUCUUUGUUAUCAUGUAUUGGCUCUUCAGAUUUGUGCACAAUUUUUGGUUCUUUCUGCUGCAGAAUAUUUUUCUGUUCUUGUUCCAUUUAGGUUUCCUUUGAUUUCUGCACUGUUUUGCUGCCAUUGUGUUUGUUUCCUUAUUUAGUCACCUUUUCCAUUCAGUGAUCAGCUUCUUUAGUCCUGCUUUUUUUUUCUGUUUCCUGAACAGUUAUUUUGGUCAUUUUUCACCUUUUUCUCCCCUGCUACUUCUCAUUUUCUUUAUUAAAUUUGUUUGGCUGUUUGUGCAAGAAUUUUUUUUUGUUCUCCUGCUUUUCUAUUUUUUAUUUCUGCAUUGAUUCAUUUCUGUGUUAUCUUUUUUUUUUCAAUUUUGAACAUUCUUGUUCUAGGUGGCCACAUAUGUGGAUGGCAAAGUUCAUAUUUUGGAGAAUGUUGUGGUUUCUCAUGUUUCAUAAAAGACAAUAACAAUCCACAAAAGACUAGUCCACAAUUGUUGUGGUCUCUCCAAUGAAUAUUUGCAAUUCAAAUCAUUUAUGUUUUGCUAUAGAUAAUAACUAAUAACUUGUAUAAUAGAAUAUCUAGAUCAACAUUUAUAUAAUUUUUAGGAACCUGCCUAAACUCCUAGGCCUUCUGCCUAGGCCUGUUAAAGGAUCACUAUCUGGGACUGCCUAGGUCUUUUAAUCACCAUGCAACUCAAAAUCUAAUAACAUCAACUCUCUUGCAAACAGACAAAUAAUAGUUACACAGAACUAGAUAUGUACCCUUUGCAUUUUGCACUAACAUUUUCUGAGAUGAUUGAGAAAAUGCUAAUGCUAAUGAUAUAUAUUCAUAGAGAGAAUCAACCUUAAGAGAACCUAACUUGAAACAAUUAGCUACAGAAAUGUAUUGCUCACCUGUCACAGGUUGCAAAUUAAGUUAAGAUACUAUGACGUUAUAUGUUAUGUUGUCCAAUACCAAAAGAGAGAAAAAUGUAAAAGAGAAAAAAAUGUAAAUCAUCAGUUGGAGUAUAAACCUCUUUCUAUGAUAAGUGAGAAUUGAAUUGCUUCAUAACAAAGAUGUGCAAAAACAAGAUAAGUUGAAGAUAGGAGAUGACAUUAUAAGAACCUGGUCGAUCAUAUCAGGAUUCGUUAGAGCCCAUCCUUUCUUCCGGUAUGCUUCACGAACCUCUUCACAUGAAUUGCAGCAUUGAUCAUCUGACUAAAAAAUAUAGUGUAAGCAACUCAAAAUUCUUUGAUUGUUGACAACAUCAGACACCGCAACAAAGAAAAACUAUGAACCAAAUCAAUUAUUGGGUUCAAUUAUCAAUUAUAGCAACUUACAGUUUCUGCACCAUAACAAGUACCACAGUAAGCUUCAUUAUGAUCAAGCCUUCCCCCAUGCUUUUGUAAAGGCCUAUCAAUCUGUGUAAAACAGAGAAGCAUGAUAGUCUUGUGUCAGAUAAAAACAUUGAAUUAACUUAGAAUACAUUGGCUAAAGGGAAAGCCCAUCCUAUACAAGAUAUUGGGGCUAUUGGACUACACAAUUCUUUACACAGUGACAGGCUGGCUAAAUUUAAUGGAAUUAAUAUACCACUCUUCCUCAACACAACCCAGUAUCUUGACUCCAUAUUUACAUUGUCUCUAACAUUAAUUAGAGUCUUACAUAUGUGUAAAACUUUGCCCAAGCUUAAAAGACACCAUGACAUUUUAAAUGUUCAAUAAUCACUUCACAGACACAAUAUAUGAACUAGAUGCAUCUCAUAUAUCAAAAUCCUAAUUUUUUUGUUAAGGAAGAAAAGAAUCUGGAAAGUGAUUUCAUGUAUAUAUAUCAAACCUGCUUAAAAGAAUCUAGUAAUCUGACAGAAACACCUUGGUCAUAAACCUAAACAUCAUAAAGUUGAUGCUUCCUUGAAUUUUAAAUGCAUAACGAAAAUAACAGUGUCCAAAAUGCCUGAUCACAUUUCUAUAAAACUUAUUAGCCAGAAAAUAGACAGCUCUCAGGAUAUAUCAAUCUAAUUUAACAUGUAGAAAGAAGAUAUAAUAAGUGAUUAGGCAAAAAUCACGAAGCACAAAAAAGUUAGAAUCCAGUCCAAUGACAACAAGAGAUUUCUUGCAUAAUUCUUAUUAAUUAUGUAAAACUAAUACUUGAUUAGCAUAGUAGAAGUUACCAACCUUUGGGGCACCAAUACCUCCCUGCCUUGACUCGAUAACAUUCCCAAGAUGAUCUAAUCUUUUCUUUGUUAUAUCAUGCCUCUGCAAGUAGAUGGACAUAAAAAGGAACAUAGCUGUCAAGGGAGGUAAAUAGAAUGGUCCAUUCAACAAGGAAAUUCAAUAUAAGAAAAGCCUCCCUAACAUGAAGAGGAAAGUCUAGAAACAUACAAUAUCAUAGUGCUGCUCCCCGCUUAUGUCAACUGUAUCAACGCUAAGAAGCGUACAAGGAAGAGAUGGAAACGUAAUAUCAAACUGCAAAACAAAGAGUAUGAAUUAUCACUUUUUAAUGAUGCAAUUGAUGUUCGGAAGCUCUAGUUUGCAAGUAUGAUGUUGGCAAAGGAAAAAAGAAGUUAUCAAAUGCCACUAAUAUCCCACUUGGGUUAUAACAAAAAAAUGAUUAGCAAUGAAACCAAUAAAAAGAUUUCCGCUGCAUCCAGCAAAUAUAAAAUAAUGGAGUUUAAGUAGAUAUACAAUUAAAUGCUUAGGUUUAAACUCAAGAUUUCUGCGAAUAUAGCAGGUCCAAAACUUAUAAGCAUAAAAGAUUCUUGUGCAAAUAUCACAGGCUUAAGAUGCAAGGUGUGUUGCUAGUCUGUCUAAAUAUGUUGUACAAACAAUAGUGUACCACCAAUCAAUUGCAAUGUAGGCUCAAUACUUACGUUAACAUGUAACCUCUCUCCUCUUGAAGUAUCCACAAUCAGCUUAGUCUCAGUUGCUGAGUAAAGAAAAAGUCCUGCAGCAAUAAUAGCAAAGCACAUUUAUAUGAUACUCUAAGAACUAUAAAUAUUUUUUAUGCAUAUAAUGUUUGGGUUUAGAAAAACAAUAAGAAGAAAUUAUCUUGUCACAAAAAGAAACAUUGAUCACAAAAAUAAAAGAUAUGUAGGAAAAGUUUGACCACGGAUUCAAAAAUAAAACCAACUGUUGAUGCUGAAGUGAAUCAGGUCACACAUUUGUUUUCAUGACAAUGGUUCCUGCAAAACUUGAAAUGGCAUAUGUAUCCCACAAAAGGUUACACUGUUUUCUGAGCCCUGUUAUCACACUCUUAGCAACACAAGCCUUACAUAUGCAAUUAGCUCUGAAAGGAGAGCUCCAAGCAGGGCUCAGCUCACAAGCAAGGCCACAAUCAUGAGACCCUGCCAAAUGCCAACGUGAAGUUAGACUUGCAUAAGGCAUACUGGCAUGCCACCUUUUCUUUGUAAACCUAAAUUGUCAUUGUCAGAUCUAGCUGUAACCCUUAGGUGUUCGUUGAUAUGAACAGAUUAGUGGGCACUGGGCACCCACCUAAUUUAAUUGUUGUCCCAUGUCCAUCAACCCAAACUAUCACAUAUAAGUUAACUUGAGUAAUCUACAAGUAACAAAGUCUGGUUGCACACCUAGGCGAUUGCCUAAGCUAUUGUUAACCGAACUAGGAAGAUAUUGUGAAUAGAAAUGAGGAUAACAUAACAAUGAACGAAAAAAAAAUCCUCCAAUUCAUUACAGUCAUGUUGGCCCAACUUGCUUGCCAAAGCAUAAUUGUUUCCAAUAGCAUAUUUUCCAAGAAAAAUAUGACAAAGGAUGAACAGAUUAUAUUAUAGGCUUAAUAGCUAAAUGCUAAUGCACUAAAAUGGGAAAAAAAAUAAUGCUAUGAAAUUGUGAGUUCAAAAAGUUGCAAUAUGCUAAGAUGCUUAAGAACAAAGAAAAGAAUCAGGAUCCAUGUUUUAGCAUCCUUAACGAUAACCUAGUUUGUUUCCUGGAGUUCCUGCAUUUUAUUGUAUACUAUCCAUUUUAAAUUUCAAAUUUUUGGUGUUCUUGUUAGCAGAGGUUGUCUUAUGGAUAUCAGAAGCUACAUUUAAUGAGAAAAUGCUGGAACCACUGUGCAUAUAUCUCCUAUUUAAGAUCAAAGUAUAUGCAAGCAUGCUGACGUAAAAAAAAAUCAGGCUUAUAUUUUCAAUAUCCAUCCAAUAAGAAGGCUAGGUUAGCAACAAACACGAGUGCAACUAAUUUUAGAAAACUACAACUUAACUAUUUCGCCUCUAAAUAAAGAAUUGAAUCUAUGUCUCUAUAAUAGUCUAGAAGGAUUUUCAUUUUUCUAUGCAAAGCAACAUGAUCAGCCAAAUAUUGCACAUCAGGUAAGCUGGAAAAGAAACCUGAACCGGAGACCUAAAAAGAAAUGCUUUUUGAGAACGACAGCAACAACUCAAAACGAACUGAAACGGAAAACCCCUUUUUCCUAAGAAAACAACAUCUCUGCAGCCGUUACAUAAUUAAUACAACCAAAACCAAUUAUCUCAUCGUAACAUACCCAAUCAUAAGAGUCCAUCACAAAAGAACCAAAUCAACUAAUAAAGCAUAUUUGAUCGCCAAGCGGACCAUUUUGAAAACGAGAAAAGAAGAAGUCAAUCACCAAGAUAUCGAAAGGACUCACUAGUUUCUGAGAUGAACAGCAAGAGUAUGAUGAUGGAAGAGACGACGGUGAUGACGCCUCCGGAGAAGGUCCGGCUGUAGAAAUCCUCGUUAAUUUUUGGGUACGCAUCCAGAUUCUUGAGCUUGUUAAGGAUCUCCAUGUCGAACGCCCACCGACGGCCCUGAAAACGCCCUAUACCUUGGAACGGAAGGUAAUCUAGGGUUUCUACCGGCGCUCCAUCGGCGCCGAGGGCUGUCGGUGUCUUCAAGAGAGGCCCCCCGGAAAGCUCGUAAUACGAAAGAAGGACCUCCGUCUUCCUUCACCGGCCCAAUAUAUAGAGAGAAAGGGGCUAUUUUGUGAUUAAGGAAAGGUAAGGGAGUUAAUAUGUUAAACCAAAACCCAUGCGGUGGAGUGGCUCUUUGUAAAUUUGUGAAACGGAGGGUCGUUAGGUGAGAAGAUUUGUGUACGACCAUUAUUAGUAAGAACGCGGAAGGUGAGUUGACCGACUCGGAUCUUAAACGUACUUGUCAUUGCCUGGCGUCUCGCAUCAGGCGAGGAAUUCGUAGAAGAUGGGGCCUCAAUCCUAGCCGUCCGAUCCGGAUGGAAUCGGCGAUCAGGACACCUACCGAAUCGGACGGAUGGAGCUUCGCGCAUAUCACGCGGGUUAAAGCCCGCGUACGGAUCGGAUCCCGCUCGCUAUUCCGGAGAAGGCGAUACACGUAAUCCGGCUUUGUCCGAUGUGGCUCCGUCAGGAACCUAACAUGUGGGACCCACUAGAUAGUGAGCCGCGCAGGGAAGUUUUGGGUAAAAAUUUAGGAUACAAAUAUUAUAAAUCCAAGCAGAACAACCGUGCAAUGAGCAGGAAGAGUAAAAAAAGAUUGUGAUAAAUAAAUGUAAAGUAGAAUAAAAAUAAAUUUGGUAAAGAAAUGAAUGCAAUUCCAUCGUCAAAAUGUGCAUUGUUUCUUUCUUUCAGUUUUAAUGAUUUGACAAAAUAAUACGCGUACCUGAAGGAAACAUAUUCAUCGUUCUGUGCAAAGACAUCAUUAAUCCCUCCCUCGAUGAUACGGAGAAAAAAAAAGGGGCGACAUGUUAGAUUACGGGUUCCCAAAAACACAAAAAAAAAAAAACAAAGUUUUCAACCUAAAGAUGGCAUCGGUUUAGAUCGAUGUUGACCAACCAAACGAGUGCUAUGUGUUUUGUUGACCUUUAUAGAAAUUAUUAAGUCAUGAUUGUCACUAUUCAAAUUCAUUCUUUGAAAAGACACCUACAGACAUAAUUCACUAUAUAAGAAUUGUAUGCGCUGUGUGGGUCCCCGAACAAUUUUAUCCUUUCAAUGUGGGUGAAUCCUAUAAUCACUCGUGAGAACUUAUUGAUCCACCUUACAUGAUCUUACUCUUUCGAUGUUGCUGAAUCCUAGAUACCUCUUCUAUGGUGUGUAUCAUUUGAUAGAGGUCCUAUCAUUAUUUAUCUUCUUUAUUCACAAAGUCUGUAAAUUGAGAUAAAUCUUAUAAGGCACUUUUGAGAGUAAAUGUGAUUUUAAUUUUAUAAUGCAUUGAUUCUCCUGCUACUUAAUCGGGAUUUAAUAAUAAGGUACUAUCUUACGAAAUAAAUUUAAAAAUGUAUACUCAAGUCAUGUUUGUUGGCCUCGUUAUUUUGGUUAGAAAAGAGUCAUUCUAUCAAGUGUAUAUUUUCAUUCAAUGAUAUCUUUUCGGUUCCCGAGAUGCCUUUUUCGUCUUCUUUGGUUUAAGCUUUCCUAUCCCUUUUUUUUUUAUAAUCUUUGUAAAUGAAUAGAUAAACUUUUUAGUUUUUUCUAUAAAAAAGAUUAUAUGAGAGAUAGGGAUACAACUUACCUAAUCAUGGUAAUAAUAAUUUUUUUUGUAAGAAUAAAUAGUAAAGAUACGAUUCAAUUAAAGAUCUUAUGAUAAACUAUUAAGAUCUUUACCAACUACAUUAGUGACAUCUUAAAAAAAUAUAUCAAUUGAAAUUUUGAACCCUUAAACGUUCGAUAAAUAUAUCUAUAUUUAAGAUGUACAAAAAUUAAUUUUUACCUAUAGUAUUGGUCAAAGAUUGUAAAAUCCAUAUCAGAUAGUGACUUUGUAAUGGAUGUUUGAGAAUGUCUUUGCUAAGAACAGUGAUUUUCUAGUAGAGCAACCAAAAUUCAAAUGAGCUAAUAUAUUUUUUUUAAAAACCCUAAAAAUGAGGAGGAUAUCUAUUUCAGCCAUAUCACUUUUAUGCUCAAGUAUAAAAACAAGAAAAGAAAAGUUGAUAUUAUUAGCAAAAGAGUCCAGGAGACUAAUAUAGCUACAUCUAAAAAUAUAAUCAUAUUUUUUCUCUAAGCCUAUGAAUUUUUUUCUUGAAGAUCUAUUGGUGCCUCUAAAUGCAAUACAAGUGAAUAGCUACUGUUAACAUCCCAGUCAGUCAGAUGUAAUUUAAAUCCACGUGCAUAGAGAAGACUAAGAUAGCCACCAAGUUGUCUCUAAAGCUCUCUCGAGGUAAGAUGUGAUUUGCACACGUGCUCUAGGGAUGAUCUACAUGAAAAUUGAGAUAGAAUGGGUUUUGUAAUCCAAUCACUUUUAACGUUGAAGUUAGUCUCCAGAUCAAUGACUAAAAAUAGUAUAAAAUAUCUUACAUCGAUUAUUAUACAAAAGAUAAAAUUUUACAUCAAGUAAAAAGAAAAAAAUUAUUUCAUGAAAUAUUCCUUGAAGGACCAACCUAAAACCAUCCUUGAUGUCCAUAUGAGCAAACCAAAGAGGCAAGUCUUAUCUCCUUUAUGCCAAUUCAAUGAGCACGUGGUUGACCAUGUGUCGAACUAUCAUUGGUUGAGAAUAUCCUCUAUCAUUUAUCCCCCUUCCCGAAGGUACACUUUGAGAGCUCUCCUAGAGGAGUCGAAGGUGUUACUCUUAGGUGGCAUGACACAUGGACUGUAUAGAAGUGGAGGGGGGAUCCCAAAUUCUUGGCUAACCUAGUUGGGACAAAAUAUGCUCGAGGAGGUUCAGAACUACUCGGCUAAGUCAGGUAGGGAGCUCGAUGAGGGAGUUUGAUUGAGAUUACCCGACUUGGUCACCUUGGGCUCUCACCAACGAGGUUGGGUCCGGGCUAGUCGACUUGAUCGCCUCGAGCGCUUGUCGAGAAGCUCAAAACAAGAUUGGUUGACCUGGUCAUCUUAAGUGCUCAAUAAAGAGGUUGUGUUGGGGAUGGUCACCCCGGUUGCCUUAGGCGCUCACCUUAGAGGUCGAGAUGGGAUUAACUGACUUGGUCAACUUUGAAUAUGUUAGGAUCGAGUCGGCACUAAGAGGGGGGGGUGAACUAGUGUAGCGGAUAAAAGUGUCAGUUUAAAAAUCUUUGUAUGUUAAAAAAUAAUUUCGGAAGAUAGCUUGAAAGUGUGUUUGUUCGUAAGGGAUGUGAAAGCCAAGUAAGGAGGAAGUGAAGCAAUUGUAAAGUAAGUAAAUGAUAAUAAUAGAAAUGAAAACUAGAAUUUAUAGUGGUUCGGUCUUUAUGACCAACAUCCACUUUCGAUUCUUCCUCCGUUGAGGUCACCGGCGUCCACUAGUGGUCUUCCUUUAAUAAGCGAAGACCAAUCAUCUAUUUACAGUAUUUUUUUCUUUUCACGGGUUUAGGAGAUAAACCUUACAAGCUUCGCACAUCAAUGAUCACAACACUAGAAAAGGAGGAGGAUGACUCUUUGCACUUUUAUAACACUUUUAACACCCCAAGAUUACAAGAUAUUGUUCAUACUUUCGUGUCAUUUCAUGCAGAAAAUGGUGGAUAUUUAUAGGUCACAAUGACUUCAGAAUUGGAGUCAAAAAGUAUCACAUCCCCAGAUUUCGGGGUACUAGCGGUACCACCGCUUGCAGACUGACACUGGGCGGUACCACCACUCAAUCUAAGCGGUACCAUCGCUUGACAAAUCUCGGAGACUGAGCUCUGGAGGUACCACCGCUUGGCAGCAUUAACUGCCAGUGGUACUACCGCAUAGUCUGGGCAGUACCACCACCCAAUUUGGGUAGCACCACAGCCCAAACUACUUGGGAGACUGACUAACCAAGUGGUGCCAUCGCCGGCCGUAACUUCAUGUGCUGAAUGGGCUAUUCAACCGGCCCAGUUCAGCCUUGUUAAGGGCUCAAUUGGCCCUUAACUGAGUUAGUGGGAUUACCUCCUAAUCCUAACUCAACUUAAGGUCUAACUAUGAUAAUUAAGACAUUUAAACAAGCAAUCUCUAUCCGGUAUGUUGAUUGUUCUUUCGACGAUCUUCCGACAAACUUCUCGACGAACUUCCAACAAACUUCUGGCAAACUCCUGAUGAACUCUCAACGAACUCCCGACAAACUCUCGGCAAGCUCCCGACGAACUCUCGGCGAGCUUCCGGCACAUUGUCCGAAUCUUCGACAUAUCGUCCGAUCUUUGACUCCGGCCCAACAUCUGCUUUAUGUCUUACUACUAUCAUAGUUAAUCCUGUACACUUAUCUCAACAUAUAGAUUAGAUCAAACACUUUACUAAUUAAUUUCAUCAUCAAAAUCAGAGAUUCAGCAAUCUCCACCUUUUUAAUGAUGAUAAUCAAUUAAUGACGGAGUUAACUUUAACUCCUCUUAUCUAUAUGUUAUGCUUGAGAAAAGAUAUUCUUAAAUUGAAGGCCUUUAAAUUCAAGCAUCAUACCGAUAAAUUAUAUUCAUUUAAACUUAUCAAACAUGCACAACAUGAUACUUAUCAUGAUUUACCAAUUCAAAAUACAAUACAACAUAUUUAUCAAUAAAAAAUGAUGUCAAGGCUUAACAUCCAUUUUCAAGUCAAAUGAUGAUAGACAAUCAUCAUGAUACAAAUUUCAAAUAUGAAAUUUAGCAAUAUGAAAUUUAGCAAGAUGAUAAUUCUUGAUAAAAGAUAACAAUUCAUCAUUUUGAGGCAUGAUAUCGAUUGUAAAUAGCAAGCUAAGCUCAUGAUACCUUAUCAUAAUGAUAGACAAUUAUCAUUCAUAUGAAAUAUAUUUUGAUAUGUUUCAAGUGUUUGCGAUGUAUUGCGAUGUUUUUGACGAUUACAAUUAUAUUUCAAGCAUUCGCAAAACAUUCAAGCAUUUACAACAAGAUAUAUUUUAUACAUUUAUCUCAAACAUUCAUAAUGGCAAUUUGUCACAUUUCUCCCCCUUUGUCAUCAACAAAAAGGAGAACCAUUCAACAAAAGGAGAACCAUUCAACAGUGCAAGUGUGGUAAACAAAAUUAAGCAAGUUUCACACCAAAUUAAGCCAUAAAGGAAGGUAAGCAAAAACUUUUCAUGAUAACCUUUUUGGAUAAGCUAAUAUUUUUACUCAAGGGCUUUUUGGUUCUUCUUCAGAUGUGCAAGUUUCUUUCUUCCUUUGUCAUAAGAAUAAGAAAUAGAGGAAGAAAGGUAAAGAGAGAAUCCAUUAAGAACCAAAUUUAUGAAAUGAUUUGAAUCAACUCAGAUUCAACACAAUAAAUGAGUUUCGUUAAAUCAUGCUUCAAUUUUAACAAAGAGAAGAGAUUCAUGAAAAGGACCAAGAUAUCUAUGUGAAAUCAAAUUACCAUUCUUGCAAGUAAUCAUCACACACUAAAAAUUCAUAAAAUUCAUCUUUCAUAAGAAGAGUAAGGAAGAAUUCAUAUGAGAGGAGUAUCACGAAUAAAACAUCAUAAAUUAAAUUUAUUUCUCAUUAAAAAUUCACAAGAGUGAAAUCCGUAAGAGAUAUAUUUAUCAAUGAAUUCCAUGAGUGAAGGGACUAAGUGUAUCAAAAAUCAUUAAGUUUGUAUGAAAUAAAUUUUGAUACCUAGUAGAUUGAUAUGUUAGAUUUCAUGAAAGCCUUAUAUACGAAAUGAAAUAAUUUCAUGAAAGCCUUAAAAAAAAAAUAAGAGAGUCUGGAAAAGAUAUACAUCAAAUUCAUGUAUUCGGACAAUUUAACAUCUCUAACUCUCUUCUAAUAAAAUCAAAUUAUUCUUCGUUUAAAGGUUUUGUAAAGAUAUCGGCUAAUUGAUGUUUUGUAUCAAUAAACUUUAAAGAUAUGUCAUGGUUAUUAACAUUAUCUCUUAUGAAAUGAUACCUAAUGUCAAUAUGUUUAGUUAUGGAGUGUUGAAUAGGAUUUUUUGUUAAACAUAUUACACUCGAUUUAUCAUAUUUUACGAAAAUAUUCUUAAGAUUAAUCUUGUUAUGAUCAAAAGCACUAAGAGGGGGGGGGGCUGAAUUAGUGCAGCGGAAAACUUUCGACGAUUUAAAAAACUUUCGUACGAAAACCAUUUCGGAAAAAACUUUAACUUGAGAGCAAACGGAAGCAUAGAUGAUGUAAAGCAAUGGAGGCAGUUUGCAGUUAAGAUAUAGAGCAGAAUGUAAAUGCAAACUGAGAUUUAGAGUGGUUUGGUCAAUCUUGACCUAUAUCUACUAGAGGCCUUCCUUCAAUAGGCGAAGGUCAACCACCUUUUUACGGCUUUACUCCUUUUGACGGGCUUAGGAGACAACCCUUACAGAUUUCCACUCCUCUCUUGAAUGAUCAAAACUUAGAAGAAAAUAUGGAGAAGAACUUUUAGCCUUUUACAACACUUUUAAGCUCUCAAAUUCUCAGAAUAAUUGCAAGCUUUCAGUUCCCUUUCAUGCAGGAAAGGGUGAGGUUUAUAUAGGUCCCAACUGAUUUGAAUUUGAAGCUAUAAAAUGUCAUCUCCCGGAUUUUCGGGGUUCUAGCGGUACUACGACCAUAACUGGGCGAUACUACCGCCUAGCAUUUCUCGGAGACCGAGCUCAGGCAGUACCACCGCCUGACAGGGGCAGUACCACCGCCCAGCAUUCCUGGGAGACUGAGCUCCUAGGUGGUGCCACUGUCGGCCAAGAAUUCUGGGUCCGAAUAGGCUAAUCCAUUCGGCCCAAUUUGGGUCUGUCAAGGGCCCAAUUGCCCCCAGAUUAAGUUAAUGGGAUCAUGUCCCAUUCCUAACUUAAUCUACAUUCUAACUACGAUAUUUAAGACAUUAAUACUGUAACUUGCUCCGGUGCGUCAAUCGCUUCUUCCGGUGAGCUUCUGGCGAACAUCCGAUGAACCCUCGACGAUACUCCGGCGGACUUCCUGCAAACUCCUGGACUUGCGAUGAUCCACUUGGUGAGUUCCGAUGAGCUUCUUUGGCAAGCUCCUAGACUUCUCGGAUUUGUUCUCGCAGAACCUCCGACGACCGUCCGGACUUCCGUCGAACUCUCGAAUCCCCAACGUGAUCAUGGUCUUGACUCUGGCGCAACUCCUACUGUAUAUCUUACUUCCAUCGUAGUUAAUCCUGCACAUGUAAAACAAACUUCGAUCUAGACAAUUAAUACUAAGCAUUAAUCAAGUUGUCCGGCAUGUCAUUGGUCCCUCAAUGCUUCGUCCGAUUCUUCGACGCAUCGUCCUCUCUUGCGGCCUAUUGCCCAAUCGGCCAAUUGACUCCGCAACUCCGAUACCCUUGGCGCAAUAUCUACUCUUCUUGGCUCGAUGCCCAAAUCCAUAGCGUGAAGCCUUCUAUCGAUGCGUCGACUGAUCCACCAGCCCGACGUCCAAUCUUCUGACAUGUUCUCCUCCGACACAACUUGAUUUUUCCUGCUUUAAUUAUCUCAUCCUGAUCGAAGCAUCUUGCGUCACUCAAAAUGCAGAUUAAAACAUCAACACAAUUAUCAAUUGGUUUCAUCAUCAAAAUAUGAGAUUCAAUAAAUCUUAUAAUCUUCUAAUGUAUUUUUCAUCCACACAACUUGUGCACAACAUGCACUCGCUGUUAUGUAUUUGGCUUCGGUUGUAGAUAGUGCAACCGAGAUUUAUUUCUUGGAAGACCAAGAGACAAGUGCAUGACCUAAGAAUUGACAUAUUCCAUAUAUAUAUUUUCUAUCUAUUCUACAUCUAGCAAAAUCUGGAUCAGCAUAAGCAAUUAGUUUAAAGUUUUUAGAUUUUGGAUACCAUAAUCCUAGAUUAGUGGUUCCUUUAAGAUAUCUAAGAAUUAUUUUAACUGCUUUAAGAUGAGAUAGCUUAGGAUUAGAUUGAAACCUAGAACAAAGUCCUACGCUAAAUAUGAUAUCCGGUCUAGUUGCGGUGAGGUAUAGUAAACUUCCUAUCAUACCCCUAUAAGCUUUUUGAUCAAAGCUUUCUCCACUUUCGUCAAUGUUUUAGAUGAAGUAACGGUCAUUCAAGAGGCCAAAGAUCUAAAUAAUUUUCCUCUUGAAAACUAAUUGGGUCAUAAUGAGCUAUAAAAUGAUGUGUAAAGCUCAUGAAGAGCUUGAAGAUACCCUUUCAAAGAAUAUGAAGGAUGUGGCACUAUGAACAUAAGAAGACCAUUUGAAAGAUAACUCAAGUGAAGAAGACUUUGAUGAUGAUGCGGCACUCUUAACAAAGAAGUUCAAAAGAUUCAUAAAAAGAAAUAAAUUCAAAAAUAAUACUAAAAAUAAAUUUGAACCUAAGAAAGAACAAGUGAUAUGUUAAGAAUACAAGAAGUCGGGGCACUUCAAGAGUAAAUGUCCCCAAGCAAAGAGGAGGCAACAAAAGAAGAAGGCUUUUAAAGUUACAUGGGAUGACUCAAGUACUUCCGAAGAAGAGGAGCCAACCAACACUAAGCAAGUUGCUCACUAUGCGCUAAUGGCUAUUGGAGAUAUGGUAAUAAGUUCAUUAGAUGCAAUUUAACUUUCGAUGAGCUUUCAAGUGAUUUUCAUGAAUUGUUUGAUGAAUAUAGAAUCUUGAGCAAAAAGUAUAACUCUUUGAAAAAGGAACAUGCUUCUCUUAUUAGCGACUUUGAUAAAGUAAAGAUUGAGCAUGAAAAUAGCUUAGCUUCCUACACAAAAUGUCAUGAACUAGAAAUACUUCAAAAGGAAAACUUGUUACUCAAAGAAACUUUGAAGAAAUUUGAUGUUGGUAGCAAGUUUUUAAACAUGAUCCUUGCCAAUAAGGGUCACAUUUAUAGAAAAGGCGGAAUCGGAUUUGUGAGUAGCUCUCACCAAAAUCCAACCACCUUUAUUAAAGGCCUUACCUUGCAUGUAUCACCUCACACUAAAUGCAACUUUUGUUGCAAACUUGGACAUGUUGCAUACAAAUGUCCAUUCAAGAAAUAUAGUCCACAUAAAUUGAUUUGAGUUCCUAAAAGAACUUCAAAUGACUCAAUACAACAUAAUAAGCUAUGUAGAUCAAUUUUUGAGGCAACCAAAGUCAAAUGGGUACCUAAAAAUCAUCCUUUUCUGUAGAAAUGUUUACCAUCAUAAGCUAGGAGCAAGAGAUGGUACCUUGAUAGUGGAUGCUCAAGGCAUAUGACCAAAGAUUCAUCUCAAUUCUCUAAGCUCACUAGCAUAGACGAAGGAUAUGUCAUAUUCGGAGACAACAAUAGGGGUAAAAUCAUUGGCAAAGGAACCAUAGGUAACAAAUCCACCUUUUCUAUUGAAGAUGUAUUGUUAGUUGAUAGCUUAAAGCAUAACAUUAGAAUUACUCAAUUGUGUGAUAAAAGAUACAUCAUUAAAUUUGAAUCUAAUACUUGCAUUAUUGAAAAACCACACAAAAAUACAUCUAUGAUUGUACUAAAACAAAAUAACGUAUACACUAUUGACAUUAAUGAUCUUUGCAAUGAAAUGUGCUUUUCGAUUUUGAAUGACGAUGCUUGGCUUUGGCAUAGGAGAUUAGGUCAUGCUAGCAUGAAACUAAUCACUCAAAUUUCAUCUAAAGAACUUGUAAGAGGAAUUCCUCAUAUCAAGUUCGUCAAAGAUAAUGUGUGUGAUGCAUGUCAACUAGGAAAACAAAUAAAAGGUAACUUCAAACCUAAGAACCAAAUAAGCACCUCUAGACCUUUGCAAUUGAUCUAUAUAGACUUGUUCGGACCAAUUGUUACAUCAAGCCUAGGAGGUAGCAAAUACACAUUUAUCAUCGUGGAUGAUUAUAGUAGAUACACAUAAACUUAUUUUUUGGCACACAAAAGUGAAUGCUUGAUGUAUUUUUCUAAGUUUUAUAAACUUAUUCAAAAUAAAAAGGGUUUUAUGAUUUCAUCAAUUCGAAGUGAUCACGGUGGUGAAUUUCAAAACCAUAAUUUUCAAGAAUUUUGUGGAAUCUAAUGGAUACAACCACAACUUCUCUACUCUAAGAAAUCCUCAACAAAAUGAAGUAGUAAAAAGAAAGAAUAGAAACUUACAAGAAAUGGCAAGAACCAUGUUGAAUGAACAUAAUCUACCCAAAUAUUUUUGGGCCGAAGCCGUAAACACGGUAUGCUAUAUCAUGAAUAGAGUUCUAGUAAGACCCUUACUCACCAAAACUCCUUAUGAGUUGUGGAACAACAAAAAACUCAAUGUUUUAUAUUUUAAAGUUUUUGGGUGUAAGUGUUUUAUCUUAAAUGAAAAAGAUGCCUUAGGAAAAUUUGAUGCUAAAUCCGAUGAAGGAAUUUUUCUUGGCUAUUCUUCUAUUUCUAAAGAAUUUCGUAUCUUUAAUAAAAGAAUUUUGAUUAUAGAAGAAUCUAGUCAUGUUGUUUUUAAUAAAAUUUUCAAAGUUAAAAAAAAUGAUUUUGAUCAUGAUGUUAAUUUUGAUGUUUUGAAUUUAAAUGAAACAUUUUCUCCAUCUAGCAACUUGGAUACAUCUACUUCCGAAACAUCCUUACCCAAGGAUUGGAAGUAUAUAGAUGCUUAUCCUAAGGAGCUAAUCAUAUGAGACACAUCUAAAGGGAUUCAAACUCGUUCCUCUCUUAAGAAUUUUUGUGCAAACAUUGCUUUUCUCUCCCAAAUUGAACCUAAAUGCAUUGACAAGGCCUUGAAAGAUGAUUCAUGGGUCAUUGCAAUGCAAGAUGAGUUAAAUCAAUUUGAGAGAAAUAAGGUAUGGAAGCUUGUUCCUAGGCCAAAUGACCAUUUAGUUAUUGGUACUAAAUGAGUCUUUAAAAAUAAGCAAGAUAAAUUUAGUAUCGUGAUUAGAAACAAUGCUAGAUUAGUGGCCAAAGGUUUUAACCAAGAAGAAGUGAUCAAUUAUGAAGAAACCUUCGCCCCUGUGGCACGAUUAGAAGCCAUAAGGAUGCUCCUUGCCUAUGCUAGUAGUAAUAAUUUUAAGUUGUUUCAAAUAGAUGUUAAAAAUAAUUUUCUUAAUGGCUUUAUUUCUGAAAAAGUUUAUGUUGAACAACCUCCCGGAUUUGAGGAUGAUAAUCUCCCUAAUCAUGUAUUUAAAUUGACUAAAGCUCUCUAUGGAUUGAAAUAAGCCCCAAGGGCUUGGUACGAGAGACUUAGCUUAUUUCUUAUCAAAAAUAAUUUUUCUAAAGACAAUGUCAAUACUAUAUUGUUUAUCAAAAAAUUUAAAAAUAAUUUUUUUAUUAUUCAAAUUUAUGUUGAUGAUAUUAUUUUUGGUUCUACGAAUGAAUCUCUAAAUAAGUUAUUUGCUAAAAGUAUGAGUCUUGAAUUUGAAAUAAGUUUUAUGGGGGAAUUAACUUUCUUUUUAGGCUUAUAAAUCAAACAACUAAGUAAUAGUAUUUUUCUUAGUCAAAUAAAAUAUGUUCUAGAUUUGCUAAAAAGGUUUAAUAUAGAUAGCUCAAAGGUAUCAACAUUCCUAUGAGCACUUUCACUAAGUUAGAAAUUGAUGAAAGUGGAGAAAGCUUUGAUUAAAAAGCUUAUAGGGGUAUGAUAGAAAGUUUACUUUACCUCACCACAACUAGACCAGAUAUCAUGUUUAGUGUAGAACUUUGUGCUAGGUUUCAAUCUAAUCCUAAGAUAUCCCAUCUUAAAGCAGUUAAAAGAAUACUUAGAUAUCUUAAAGAAACCACAAAUCUAGGAUUAUGCUAUCCAAAAUCCGAGAACUUUAAGCUAAUUGCUUAUGUUGAUGUGGAUUUUGUUGGAUAUAGAUUAAAUAGAAAAAGCACAUCCGGAACAUGUCAAUUUUUAGGACACACACUUGUUUCUUUGUCUUCCAAGAAAGAAAAUUCGGUUGCACUAUCUAAAACCAAAGCCGAGUACAUUGCAGCUAGUGCAUAUUAUGUGAAUGAAAAACACCUUAGAAGAUUAUAAGAUCAUAUUAAAAAUAUUCUCAUAAAAUGUUAUAACACAAAUGCAAUAUGUUUAACAAAAAAUCUCAUUCAACACUCUAAAACUAAAUAUAUUGAUAUUAGGCAUAACUUUAUACGAGAUCAUGUUAUUAAUCAUGAUGUAAUCUUAGAGUUUAUUGAUAUGAAACAUCAAUUAGCCGAUAUUUUUACAAAGNNNNNNNNNNNNNNNNNNNNUAAUUUGAUUUUAUUAGAAGAGAAUUAGGAAUGUUAAUUGUUCGAAUGCAUGAAUUUGUUAAAUUUCGUUUUCGGACUUUCUUGAUUCUUUGGAUCACUCACUUAAAUUCUAUGCUGAUAAUUUUAUGAUACAAAUUUUACAUGAUGAUAAGGUUGUGUGCUUCAAUAGAAUGUUUACUUUGAUGUUAGAAUUUUGUGCUUUGAUGCUGAAAGCGUCUAUGAUGUUGUGAUCUCUUUAAAUAAUGAGCAUGUUAUCAUACAAUGAUGCAAUAUCAUGUUUACUUUGAUGAUUAUGAUUUCUAUUGAAUAUUGAGAAGUUUUAAUCAUAUAUAGGAUUCUUAACUUUUGAGUGCUACAAGCACUAAUGAUAUUAUCUCAUGCAAGUAGUAAUGAAAGGCUAUGACAAAACAUUUUAUAAAUGCAUGAAGUGUUUAUACAUAUCUUGAUGUUUGAUAUAUGGAAGUAAUUGACAAAUGCAUCUCUCACGGAUUUCACUCUUAUGAAAUUUUAAUGAGAAAUGGAUUUGAUGUAAUGCUCUUCUCACUAUGAAGUUUUAUUCGUGAAUUUCUCAUUCAUGUGAUACUCCUCUCUCAUGAAUUCUUCUUAUGAAAAUUGAAGGAAUUCCAAUAGAUAUAUUAAUCCUUGAAAGAUAAAUUCUCGUGUGUGAUAAUGAAAGCAUUUGUGUGAUAAUUUUUGUAGGGAUUUGAUUUCAUAUAGAUAUCUCAAUCCUUUUCAUGAAUUCCUUCUCUUUGUUAAAAUGAAAGCAGGUUUUAACGAAAACUUAUUUUUGACUUGAUUCAAAUCAUUUCACAAAUUUAGUUCUUAAUGGAUUGCCUCCUUACCUUUUUUCCUCUUCUUCAUGCAAAAUGUGAUGAUAAAGGGGGAGAAGUUAUUGGAAUCUAUCGUUUUAAUGUUGAUAACAUCUAAUGAUGAGAACUUUUGAGUGUGAACCUUGUUUGAUUUUUUUUACCACACUUGCAUUGUUGAAUUGUUCUCCUUUUUGUUGAUGACAAAGGGGGAGAAAUAAUACCAAAAUGUGGUAAAUUGAUGACAAAUGUAUAUAAUGUAUUUCAUCAUAUAUACUUGAAAUGUUUGCUUGAUAAAUUUCUUUCAUUAUGAUAAGAUAUCUAGAGCUUAACUUGCUAUUUUGUAAUUGAUAUCUUGCCAUAGAAUGAUGAAUUGCUAUCCUUGUCAUCUUUCAUAGUUGAAAUAUCAUACUUGAAAAUGGAUGUCAUGCCUUGACAUCAUUUUGAUAAAUACUUGGCAUCGUAUUUUGAGAAUGAUAGAUCAUAAUAGGAAUCAUGAUGUGCAUGUUGAUAUGUUUAAUUAACUUAUCUUAUCAGUUUGUUUCUUAAAUUCAAAUGCCUUGAAUUUAAGAAUAUCUUUUCUUAAGUAUGGUAUAUAGAUAGGGGGAGUUAAAGUUAACUCCGUCAUUAAUUGAUUGUCAUCAUAAAAAAGGGAGAGAUUAUUAAAUCUCGGAUUUUGAUGAUGAAGUCAAUUAUAAAUUGUUUGAUCUAAUCUAUAUGUUGAGAAAAGUGUACAUGAUUUACUACGAUAGCAGUAAGACAUAAAGUAGGGUUUAUGCCAGAAUCAAGAUCGAGAUCUCAUUGGGAGUUCGAGAGGUCGACGAAAGUCUGGACAUUCGUCGGAAGUUCUACCGGAACCAAUAGAGAAGUCCAGGAGCUUGCUAAAGAAGCUUGUCGAAACUCACCAAGAAGAUUGUCGUAAAGUCCAGGAGCUUGUCGGGAGUCCGCCGGAAUAUUGCCGAGAGUUCGUCGGAUGUUCGCCAGAAGUACGUCUGAUGUACGCCGGAAGCUCGCCGGAAGAGCAAUUGACACACCAAAACAAGCAACUUUGUAAUCAUGUCUUAGUUAUUAUAGUUAGAGUAUAAAUUAAGUUAGGAUUGAGAGGUGAUCUCACUAACUUUAUUAGGGGCCAACUAGGCCCUUAACAAGGCUAAAUUAGGCCGAAUUGAGCACCCAAUUCAGCCCCUGAAAACGUGACCGACGUCGGCACCGCCUGAAAGGUAGUGCCCCUAGAUUUUUGGGCAGUGGUACUGCCCAGAUUGGGCAGUGGUACCACUGGCAGCAGUGCUAUUCAGCGGUGGUACCGCCUAGUGUUAGAUCAACGACAAUAGUACCACUCAAUAAUAGUGGUGGUACCACCAGUACCUUGGAUUCCGGGUAUGUGACACUUUUUGGCUCUAAUUUUAAAGCCAUUAGGGCAUAUAAAAAUCCCAACCUUUUCUCCAUGAAAGGGCAUGAAAGCAUUGGCUUAAUCUUGAAUUCUUGACUCAUAUAAGUGUUGUAAAGGUUAGAGUUAUCCUCCUUCAUCUCUUAACCUUGUAACCAUCCAAGAAAGAGGAGUGAGACUUGGAAGGGUUCAUCUCCUAAACUCGGGAAAAGGAAAAAGUAUUGUAAAGAGGUGUUCGGUCUUACCUAUUGAAGGAAGGCCUUUAGUGGACGUCGAUGACCUCGUCGGAGGAGGAAUCCGAAAGUGGAUGUAGGCCACCUUGAUCGAACCACUCUAAAUUCCGGUUUGCUUUUCAUUUAUGCAAUUUACUUUACUGCAAACCUCCUUAAUUUUCUCUUGCACUUUUAUGAAAGCUUUUAAGUUCAACUUCUCUCCGAAACAUAUGGAAUCGAAACCAUUUUCGUUCGAAUCGAUUUUAAACGAAACAAAUAAUUUUCUGAAAUCGUGAAAGUUUUCCGCUGCACUAAUUCACCAUUGAUAAAUCUAUUUAUGUCAUUUUGAAUCUCUUGAAAGUGAUUUUGAUGAUUUGACAAAUUGAAUAAGUUAAAAAUAAUGAUGAAUGUUUUGAAAAUAAAUGUUUGUAUAAUGCUUAUUGGUUUUACAUUUUAAAAUUAUGCAUGAUGAGUUGAAGUAAUGAUGGUUUAAAAAAUAUUUAUUCAAAUGCAUGAAUCGAUAAUCUUUGUCAAAUGAAUCAUGAUUCCUUCACUUGAUGUCUUGAUAUUUCUUAUGCAUAAACCAAGUUCUCCUUUCUUCUUAUCAUUUAUUAAAGAGGAGAUUUUUUUUUAUGAAUCAUGAUUUUUCUUGUAAAUUAUAAUAUGAAAUUUUUUAAUAUAUGAAUUAUUAUCUUGACAACUUGAGAUUUUUUAUAAAUGAAUCCAGAUAUUUUAUUCUCCUAUGUUCCUUUUUGCUAUUGACUAAAGAGAAUAUCUUUUUUGGAAUUCAUGACUUAAGAUUUCAAAUAUAAAUGAAAAGCAUGAAAACAUGAAUUCUUUGCCUUACUAUUCGGUCUCCUAAAAUUUCUUCUCGUUCUUUUUUCUUUUUAAAGGAGAUCAAAAUGAAUCAUGUCUUUUGGUAUUCACAUGAUCUUUGAUAUUAUAUCUUUUUUUACAUGAUUUUCAUUAUGUAUAAUUCUUUUGUAUUUAUGGUUGUAUACCUUAUGUGAUGCCUAGAGAAUUAAUGUAAAAGGAAAUGAAUUGCACCUUUGUGUUAUUCCCCUCUUUUUGCCAAUGACAAAGGGGGAGAAAGAAUUGCUAGUGUGUACAUCUCAAAAGAAAACCAAAAUUUGCUAGCUUGCACAAUUCAAGAAGAAGUAAAUCAUGCUAGCUUGCACAUCAUAAAGAAAAGCAAACUUGUUAGCCUGCAUGUUCUAAAAUGAUAUAAAAUUUGCUAGCUUGCAUGUUCUAAAAUGAUAUAAAUCUUGCAUUCUUUUUCAAAAAACUUACUAGCUUAAAUAUCGCAAAGAAAAGAAAACAUGUUAUCUUGCAUAUCUUAAAUGAUACAAAAGUUUUGCUAACUUUUAUAUCUGAAAAACUUACUAGCUUGCAUGAUGAUAUAUGCAAUGAUGUUUUAAAAACUUAAAAUUAUGUUUAUAAUGCAAUGAUUUGAAAUUAUAUCUUAAAAAUUUACUAGUUGCACUUCUCCUUUUUGUUGAUGACAAAGGGGGAGAAGUUAUGAUGACGAUCAUGCAUGGAAUGAUAUAUUAAAAUUUUGAUUAUGAAUGAUUUUAUGAUAACAUAUUGCUAGGAUUCAUAAUUUAUUUUUGAAUUUACGUUUCUAUCAAUAUGACAUAUUGAUAGGGAGAGUUUGGUUUAAACUCUGUCAUUAAUUGGUUAUCAUCAUAAAAAAUCGGGAGAUUAUUGAAUCUUGGAUUUUGAUGAUGAAACAAAUUGAUAGUGUUUAUGAUUUAAUCAGUGUUUUGAGUGAUGCAGGACUAGCUUCAAUCAUGAAGAGACAAUUAAAGUAGGAAGAAUCAAUAUUAGGCUGGAGUAGAGCAUGUCAGAAGAUUGACGUCAAGCCGAGGGAUCGGUCGACGUGUCGGCAGAAGGCUUCAUGCCAUGAGUUCGGGCAUCGAGCCUAGAAGAGCGGACAUUGCACAAAGAAUAUCGGAGUUGCAGAGGUUAACAUAUCGAUUGGGCAAAAGGCUACAAAAGAGAACGAUGCAUUGAAGGAUUGGAUGAAGCGUCGAUGAACCAAUGACAUGUCGGACAACAUAUGAUUAAUGCUUUAUAAUAAUUAUCCAGAUUGAAGUAGUUUUAAGUUGUAAUUGGGUUGGAAUUAGGCCAACUCAAUAAGGGGUCAAUUGGGCCUAUGUUGGGGCUAUUUUGGGCUAAGAUAAAGGCUCAUUUAGUGAGUCAAAAGUUGGGUCAAGCAGUGGCAUCACCAGUCCAGGCAGUGGCACCGUCAGAGGCUCAGUCUCCAAGACUAUAUCAGGUGGUAGUACCACUAGACAGGGCGGUGGUACCGCCUAGUGUCAGGCGGUGGUAACACCUAGUGUUAGGUGAUGGUAUCGCUCAGACACAGUCUCCCAAACUAUGUCAGGCAGUGGUACCGUCAGAUUGGAUGAUGGUACCACAUAGUGUCAGUGCUGUAGGUAGUAGUACCGCCCAACAUAGGCGAUGGUACCACCAGUACCUGGGAAACCCUAGAUGAGACCUUUUUUAGCUCCAUUUUUGAAACCAUUUGAGGUCUAUAAAUACCCCAACUAUUCUUGCAUAGAGUAGCAUGAAAUUGAGUUGAAAAAUGGGGAAAGAAUCCUUAUAAAAAAAGUUAUAAAUCUCUCUUAGUAUAGAGUCACCUCUUCCUAGUAUUUAGAAGUUCUUCUAAAAGGAGAAGUGAGGUCUAAGUGUAAAAGGGAGAAGUGAGGUCUUAAGUAUAGAUGAGACCCUUUUUGGCCCUAGUUUUGAAAUCAUUUGGGGUCUAUAAAUAUCCCAGGUAUUCCAGCAUAGAGUAGCAUGAAAUUGAGUUGAAAAAUAGGGAAAGAAUCCUUGUAAAAAAAGUUGUAAAUAUCUCUUAGUAUAGAGCCACCUCUUCCUAGUAUUUAGAAGUUCUUCUAAAGGGGAGAAGUGAGGUCUAAGUGUAAAAUAGAGAAGUGUAAAAGUUCUCUCCUGAACCUAUAAAAAGGAGAAAGGGCUAUAAGAGGGUAGUUGGUCUUCGCCCAUUGAACGAACAUUGGUAGUGGAAGCCGAUGGCCUCGAGUGAAGAGGAAUCGGGAGUGGAUAUAGGUCACGACAAUCAAACCACUAUAAAUAUGGCUUGCAUUUAUUUUGAGCGUUUUAUUUUCAUUGUAAAAUGAUUUCUUACUUUCACUACACUUAUGAACGUGUUUCCAAGUUAACAGCUUUCCGAUAUCGAUUUUCAUCGUAUGAAGUUUCAAACUGACAUAAUUUUUCAUAAGCACUAAUUCAACCCCCCUCCUCUUAGUGCCAACUCGAUUCUAACAAUUCUCACCACGGGAGGGUCACAUCAGGUAUAUCAUGGACACUCACAUCGAGAUGGGCGCAUCAUGUGUAAUUGAGAUGCUCACCUUAAGAGAUGUGCAUCAAGCAUAUAUUGAAUGCUCACUCUAUGAGGGGCAUGCCAAGUGUCAUUGAAAUGCUCAACUCGAGAGGGGCACAUUAGGUGCCAAACUCGAGAGGGGCACAUUAGGUGCCAUUGAGAUUCUCAUCUUGAGAGAUGUGCAUCGGGCAUAUCUUAGAUGCUCACCCUAAGAGGGGUGCAUCGGGUGCCAUUAAGAUGCUUAUUCUGAGAAGGAUGCAUCAGGCAUUUCUUGGAGACUUACCCCAAGAGGCAUACAUUGGGUGCCGUUGAGAUGCUUAUCCCGAGAGGAGAGCAUCAAGCAUUUCUUAGAGUUAAUAUACCAUUAAUGAGUCCAAAGUUUGAUGGGACAAUUGGGGUUAAUGUGUCAUUAAUACGCCUAUUUGGUUCUAGCAGGAAUUAAUAUGACUCUUAAAUUCUAGUGGGAGUUAAUGUGACUAGGAUCCGAUGAGAAUCCUAGGAGUUAAUGUGAGAAUAGAUGUAGUGACCCCACACUAUAAGUGCCUUUGCAACGAUAAUGGAGCUCACUUGUCGCUUUUAGUUUUCUUUAUCUCUCCUUAUCUCCUCCUUCUAAAGCACCUUGAUUAACCAAAGCAACUUCUCCUCUCACUAUUUAGGUCGGGCAAGUCUUCUUCUUCUCGCACUUGUUCUUUCUUAUCCCUCAACUAACAAAUGGCCAAGGAGGUAAAGGUUUUGUCCUUAGGUAGCUCAAAGGUAGGAGGGGUCCUGACCUCCUCCUCCUUAGGGGGGUUAGUUGUAGUGGACUUAAGGGUCCUUCGAGAUCUGGAUGCCAUGAGGAGUUUCCAUGAUUAUAACUUAGUUUUAACCCCAAGUUACCUAGAUCGCUUGUUGACCCGAUACUCCAUCCCAGUUAAAUUUGAGAUGUAUGUACCUCAAUCAGGUCAUAGUCCUUUCUAACCUGACGUGUAGAUUCCUCUGCUUGUACUCGAAUGUGUUGGAAGUGAGGCUUUGAUUCCUUCUACAUUUGCUAAUAGUGGUGUGCCUUCAAUGAUAGAGGAUCCCAUCCUUUCAGAUGGCACCCAACUCAUGAUGCUAUGUUUUAGUCUUUAUCAAAGAAUGUUGCCAUGUUAGCAUAACGCCAACCCAUACACUUUCCUUUGUUUACUUUCGCUUGUGCAGGCGGCGAGCGGCUAUUAUCUUGUUGCUCAAGAAGGCUUCAAGGUGAGGGGCACUCCCUCUAAUAACAAAGGUCGAAAGGAGCACUUUUUCUUUAUAGAGACUAGUUGGGAUUGGGGAUUUGGUUUCGACUAAUUAGCAUAUCCCGAAGAUAACAUCGACCCACCCCCUUACCCUCGAUGAGAUAGAAACAAGUGCUUCAGUUAAGGGAGAGACUUUAUACUCUUCUCUUUAAAGGAUAUCGGGAAGAUGGACGAGGACUGGUUGAUCAACGUAGGUCUAAGAUCGUCUCCUCAUGGUAUAACUGAACCCCUUUUUCCUGAGGUCUAGUUUACCGAAUCCAUGACUUAACUCUUUGGGCUUCUUGUAGGAAUAUAACUCUAAGCAAGCGAUGAAGAGGUAGGGAGCAAGCUCCACCUCAGGUGCAAUGGUUGCUUCCUUGACCUUAUCCAACCACCUUGGGAGCCAACACUUGAGCUUCCAAAGGAGACCUGAGCUAAAAGGCCCCUUACUCUAAGCAUUGAAGAAGAAGAAGGCGAUCACGAAAAACGUCAUGUGCACUUGGGCCUUGGUGAGGGAGGACCAUGAGGUUAGCUAGCCUGUAACAUCCCUCAUUUUUUUAAAAUUUAUAAGGGCUUAUUUAUAAUGUAGGGAUCUAAAUAUAAAUCUUGGCAAAUGGAUAUGAUUUGUGAAAGAUUCAUGUUGAGAGUAGAAAAAAAAGAAAAAAGAGGACAUGCAUCACUAGCUAACCUAAUGAUGGUGCCACCUAUGUUUGUUCUAUGGAUGACACAUAGACUUCUUGUAUGCAUGCUUAUCAUCUAGCAAUCCUUGUAUUAGUCAAACCUAAGUAAUUAAAGGAGAAACUAAAGGAAAACUUAAUAAAAGAGCUGCAACCCAGGUAAGUUUGUGAAGAGAAGGGAAGAAGAAUUGAAGUAGAAGAAGAAGCUUUGCUUUGGCUUGAGGUUUUAUAUCAAUUCUAUACAUUUAGAACUCAAAUUUUUCUAAGACAAGUGUUCUAACCCGUUUCUAUAGAAAUCUGGAUCUCUAAUUUCAUCUUAAUUCUAAAAAUUUUAGAAGAUUUUGGUUUCAUACUUGAUAUUUCUGUCAUUUGGGAAUAAAACUGUGAAUCUAAAAUUUUUUGAGAUUUGACCUUUCUAUAUUAUUUUAGCCAUAAUUUUUUGCAUCGACUUUGGAUUUAGUAGAAACCAAUUUUAUAUAAAAUAGACUCAUAGCUCUUUCUUUUGACACUAAGAUUGACAAAUGUGGAGUCUAAUUACCUAUCCAAACUAUUAUUUCGACUGGCCCAAUGAAAUCAGUAAAAUAGAGGCUAUGUGGUUCUGACCUUUUAGUACUCUCUUGUUUAUAACUCUCUAUUGAAAACUCGGAUUUAUAUAAAAUAUAAUUUAUUAGAGAAUAAACUCAUAUAUAUUUCUGUGCAUACCUGAUUUGAAAGAUUUGGAGCAUAAAUGCAUAUCAAAGCAUAUGUUCUGAUUAACUUUAUGAAUUCUACAAAAUAGAGAUAAUCUUCUCUGACCUUUGGUUACCAAAUAUUUUAUAACUCAUUGUUCAAAACUCCAAUUCAUACAAAACUUAAUUUAUCUAAAUCUAGAUUAAUGCAUCUUUCAAAUGACACCUAAUUGUGUAAUUUUGAGCAUAAUUAGUUAUCCAAAUAAAUCAUGCAAUGUGCCUCUCAAAUUUUGUCAGAAUCAAGAUUUGAUCGAUUUCUCUUGUUCUUGUUUUAUCUCUUUGGAAAUUGAUUUCAACUAAAAUCCUUACUUUAGUUGAGUUUUACAUUAUUACUUUGAAUUCAUGUAUACUCUUGUCCUUCAAUUAUUUAUAUACCUGAAUUUUUUAUAUAAAGUUCUUGUUUAUAUCGUAAUGUUUCUGUUAGGACUCUAGCUAGGAGAGUCCUAAUUGAGUUUCAUUGAAAGGGUCAUUCAUAUAAAACCUACCUAGUUAACCCCUAUUAAAUAGGUAAAGAGGCUAACUAAGAUUAGGAUUAGUUUAGAGGUUACUUCUUAGAGAAGCAUUAGGAGUUAGUUAGAAGUAGGAGUCUUGAGUAAGAAUCCUAUUAGGAGUUGGUUAGAAAUAGGAGUCUUGAGUAGGAGUCCUAUUAGGAGUUAACAUUUAGAAGCCCUAUAAAUAGUUAUAUAUUUAUCCUUUUUUUUUAAUAAAUAGAUGAAUCCUUUUAGCAGCCUUUGAGUAGCAACCUGGAGGAAGGAACCCCUAUAGAGUUCCAAGGAGGCCGAUCCCCUAAAGAGAUCAACACCAAGCUUAGAAUCCACAACGGUUCUAACAGUUGGUAUCAGAGCAGCAUUCUCGGCAUCUCCCUACCCUUCUACAACCAUCCAUCAGCCCUCCACAGCCACUCAAAGCAAUUCCUACAAUUGUUUAAAAGAUCAUCGCCGAAUUUUGUCGUCAUCUCCACCACCGUAGAUCAUCCUUUAAUCUCCCCGUGAAUUGCAAUAGGUUCUGGUUUCCAACCGUACUACUGCUGUAAUUUAUUUAUCCUUAUUAAAAAAUUAAAAAAAAAUUGUUCCUAGAUUGCUGCAUAAACUUUUCAUCAUAAAGUUUUCAUCUCUACGACGAAAGAUGCACUUGUCGAAUUCCAACCGCAUAGCACUGUUUGUUUGAUCUUGCUACUAUAUUUUUUCUAUCCAAAUCUCUACGAAAUUUUUAUGACAGCUUUAACACUUCCUAACAGCAGGUUUCCCUUUGGUUUCGUCAAAAAAUUCUCAAUAUAAACUACUGAUCUUUUACGUCCAAGCUGCUACACUUUAGACGUAAAAAUCUAUUGCAGUACCUUUCCUUGAUCCUCAAUUUUUCUGAACCUUCCACCACCCCAUGCCAUUAACCCAUUAACAGAAAGAAGACAGGGACAUCUCUGAUCUAUAGGCAUAUGCUAUGGCUUCUCAAGAUCCAAUUGAUAUCAAAUUUAAAGCAUUGGAAUCUCGGAUUGAAUCACAGCUUGAAUCAUGCUUGGAGGACAAAUUGUGCGCUUUGUUUGCAAAAUUCAGGAUUGGACAACCGCCGAGUCCAACCAAAUUUCAGUGAGGAGAGAGUUCAGAUAGGCCUUCAGAGAAGGAGGGAUAGCCCUUGGAUAUGUUUUGGCCAUGCAUGAGGGUGGACUUCCCGCGAUGGGAAGAAGGAGACCCAGCGGGGUGGAUUUCGCGCGUCGAAAGUUACUUUCGCUACUACCGAAUGUCGGAUGAUACUAGGGUGGAAAUUGCUGUCAUCCACCUUGAAGAAGAUGCUAUUCAAUGGUAUAAUUGGCUGGAAUACAAUCAUGGGGAUCCGACAUAUAAUCAAUUUAAGAAUGCACUACUGAAUCAUUUCAGACCUAUGGAGUAUGAAAAUAUCGAUGGCCAACUCGCAAAGAUUCGACAAACCUCUAUGCUUCAAGAGUACCAAACUAGGUUUGAGAAGCUAUCCUACCUUGCUCAUGAUUGGACUGACCAUCAAUUGUUAGGAACAUUCAUUGAAGGACUUAAGCCAGAGAUAAAAGGGGAGGUUAAGGCGCGGCAGCCCCAUACCGUGACAGUUACGAUUUCUUUCGCCCGAAUAUAAGAAGAAUAGCUCAACCAAGAUGCUUAGAGAAUGAGAACCUCUCCUAGGCUUGCGGCAUAUAAACCUCCUUUUGCUCCUAGCCAUCCUUUCCUGCCAAAAAAAUUGACAAGAGAAGAACUACGUGACCGAUCAGCAAAGGAUCUUUGUUGGCAUUGCGAUGAGCCAUGGAACUGCAAUCAUUGCUGCAAAAGGGGCCACCUCCUACUGAUUGAACCUCUUGGAGACAUGGAGAAGGAGGUCUAAGAGCAUAAGGAAGAGGUUGUAGAUGAAGAACAACAGUCGGUUGAUAUUACGAUGUAUGCCCUUGUCGGUUACGCGAACCCGCAAACGAUGAAAGUGGGAGGACUUCUGAAGCAACAACCUAUCAUCGUUCUUAUUAACACUAGGAGCACUAAUAAUUUUAUGAACAACAAGGUUGCUGUUCGGAUGGCCUUACCAAUUGAGAAUUGCAGCAGGUUUGACGUUAAGGUCACCAAUGGAUGAAUUUUGAAGUGUGAUCAUAGAUGCCCGCGGGUGAAACUAUUGUUGCAGGACCAAGAAAUAAUUGCAGAUUUCUUCCUUCUCCCUCUUGAUUAUUAUGAGGUUGUGCUCAGCAUCGAAUGGCUAAUGACAUUAGGUGAUGUUUCUUGAAAUUUUAUGAAACUAAUUAUGAAAUUUUACAGUAAAGGGAAACAGGUGAUACUGCAAGGGAAACGUGGGGGUGACGUAAUGACGAUUUGCACACAACAAAUGGAAAAGGUUUUGCACAAAGCAUGUAGCAGCUUUUUGGUACAACUUGAGAAGCAAACUAAAGGAGAGCCAAUAGAAUUUGAAGAUCCAAACCUACUUCCUUUGCUUACUGAAUUUUCAGAUAUAUUUGACGAACCGCACAACCUAUCUCCUACCCGUUGGCAUGAUCAUUGUAUACUGAUUCUUCCGAGCAAACCUCCAAAAGGAUGAAAUAGAAAGGAUUGUAAAAGAGAUGCUCAAAAUAGGAGUUAUUUGGCCAAGUUGCAGCCCUUACUUUUCACCAGUGCUCCUCGUACGAAAGAAGGACGGAACAUGGCGAAUGUGUGUUGAUUACUAAGCUCUCAAUAACAUAACCAUCAAGGACAAAUACCCUAUUCCAGUAGUAGAUGAAUUGCUUAAUGAAUUAUAGGGAGCACGAGUCUUCACAAAGCUGGACCUUCGAUCCGGGUAUCAUCAAAUAUGAGUGUGCGAAGAAGACAUCGAAAACCACCUUUUGAACACACAACGACCACUACGAAUUUUUGGUAAUGCCCUUUGGUGUCACCAAUGCUCCCUCCACCUUCCAAAGCCUUAUGAAUGAUAUUUUUCAGAAUUAUCUUCAUAAGUUUGUGCUAGUUUUCUUCGACGAUAUCCUUAUUUACAGCCCUUCUCUUGAAAGUCAUUUUCAAUACUUACAACUUGUUUUGACGAUUUUGCGAGAACAUGUUAUUUUUGUCAAAAAAUGGAAGUGCAACUUUCUUCAACAGAAGGUGAAAUAUCUUGGACAUAUUUUAUCAGAGGAAGGUAUAGCAGUGGACCCCUCCAAACUUGCAGUAAUGUAGAACUAGCCAACUUAGAGGAACGUAAAAUCGCUACGUGACUUUCUCUGUUUAACAGGCUACUAUCGCAAGUUCAUGAAAAACUAUGGAAAGAUUAGUGCACCCCUUAUUUCCUUGUUGAAAAAAGAUGCUUUCCAAUGGUCGGACAAAGCCACUAUCACCUAACAAGAGAUGACUUCCAAGAGAGGGGAGAUUUUAUGAUUGAUCCUAACAAUCCACGCAUGAGAGUGGACUACCCUAGAUGGGAAGAAGGAGACCUGAUUGGUCGGAUCUCGCGCGCCGAGCAAUAUUUUCAAUACCAUAAAAUCGCGGACGUAUCUAUGUUGAAAAUUAUGGCUAUACAUUUUGAAGGGGAUGUCAUAUAAUGGUUUGACUAGUUUGAACACACUCAUGGAAUCCUCUCAUGGUGACAAUUCAAAAAAGGACUGCUGAUCUGCUUCGGACCAACCGAUUACGAGAACAUUGACGGACAACUAGCAAAGAUCUGACAAACCUCAACCAUUCAGGAGUACUAAACCAGGUUUGAAAGGUUAUCUAAUCAAACUUAUGAUUGGUCUCAAAAAUAGCUAUUGGGGACCUUCAUUAAGGGUUUGAAGCUGGAGAUCCGGGGAGAAGUUAAAGCGCGAUAACCGUACACGCUUAUGGCAGUCAUCUCUUUCGCACGACAACAAGAGGAGAGAUUGAACCAUGAAGCUCGGAGGACUAGGGUCGCUCCUCGACUAGCAAUACUAAAGCCCUUAGCCCCUCCUACUGUCGACCAGUCCCUACACCAAAAAGGUUGACAAGAGAAGAGCUUCGGGAGCGAUAUGCAAAGGGGUUAUGUUGGCAUUGCGACGAGCCGUGGAGUCAUGAGCAUCGAUGUAGUAAAGGGAGACUUCUUAUGAUUGAACCAAUAAAAGAAGGGAUCAUUGAACAUCUAGAAGAGAGCCUUGAACAUAAAGAAGAAGAUGCAGAAGAAGAGCCACAACCAAUCGAAGUUAUGGUACAUGCACUAGCCGGCUACUCAAACCCGCAAACGAUGAAAGUUGGAGGCGUUCUCAAAUAAUAACCGAUCACUAUUCUCAUCGACAUGGGCAGUACUAAUAACUUCCUAAAUAGUAAGGUUGCUGUCCGGAUGGCCUUACCUAUUGAGAAUUGCAGCAAUUUUGAUAUUAAGGUUGCCGACGGAUGGAUUUUGAAGUAUGAUCGUAGGCGCCCGCGAGUGAAACUAUUGCUACAAGACCAAGAGAUAAUUACAUAUUUCUUCCUCCUCCCUCUUGAUGAUCAUGAGGCCAUGCUCAGAAUUAAAUAGUUGACGAUAUUAGGUGAUGUUUCUUGGAAUUUUAUGCAACUAAUUAUGAAAUUUUACAGUAAGGAGAAACAGGUGAUAUUGCACGGGAAACGUGGGGGCGACGUAACGAUGAUUUGCACACAACAAAUGGAGAAGGUUUUGAAUAAAGCAUGCAAUGGCUUUUUGGUACAACUUGAGCAGCAAACUAAGGGAGAGCUAAUAGAAUUUGAAGAUCCAAACCUACUUCCUUUGCUUGCUGAAUUUUCAGAUAUAUUUGACAAACCGCAUAACCUACCUCUUAUCUAUCGGUAUGAUCAUUAUAUAACGAUUUUUCCAAGCAAACCUCCAGCAAAUACUCGGCCAUAUCAGUAUCUACAUCUUCAGAAGGAUGAAAUAGAAAGGAUUAUAAAAGAGAUACUCGAAAAAGGAGUUAUUCGGCUAAGUUGCAGCCUCUACUCUUCACCGGUGCUACUUGUACGCAAGAAGGACGGAACAUGGCGAACAUGCGUUGAUUAACGAGCUCUCAAUGACAUAACCAUCAAGGAUAAAUACCCUAUUCUAGUAGUAGAUGAAUUGUUAGAUAAAAAGGAGCAUAAAUCUUAACAAAGCUGGACCUUCGAUCCGAGUAUCAUCAAAUACGAGUGUGCGAAAAAGACAUAUCGAAAACCGCCUUUCGAACACAUAAAGACCACUACGAAUUUUUACUUUCUUCAAUAAAAGGUGUAAUAUCUUGGGCAUAUCAUAUUAGAGGAAGGUGUGAUGUUGGACCCCUCCAAAAUAGAAGCAAUGCAGAACUGGUCGAUCCCGAGGAACAUAAAAUUGCUACAUGGCUUUCUGGGUUUAAUAGGCUACUACCGUAAGUUCGUGAAAAACUAUGGAAAGAUCAGUGCACCACUUACUUCCUUACUGAAAAAAUAUGUCUUUUAAUGGUCGGACAAAGCCUCCGUUGCCUUCGACAAACUUAAGGCAGCCAUGACGAUGACGCUGGUGCUAGUACUACCAUAUUUCAGUCGACCCUUCAUUAUUGAGGCCAACGCAUCUGGAGUCAGAAUUGGAGCCAUUCUCAUACAAGAUGGUCGACCACUCGCAUACACUAGCAAGGCAUUGUCUCCCUCCCAUCAAAAUAUAUCAACAUAUGAUAAGGAGAUGCUCGCCAUUGUGCACAUAGCAACGAGGUGGAGACCCUACUUGAUCGGUCGACGAUUUCAAAUUAAAACCGACCAUAAAAGCCUCAAGUACUUUUUGGAGCAAAAGAUAUUAUCCCCUGAGCAGCAAAAUGGGUAACAAAACUUUUUGGAUUUGAUUAUGAAAUAACUUAUAAAAAGGGGAAAGAGAAUGUUGUUGUAGAUGUACUUUCGCAGCUACCUAAGCAAGUUGAAUUUUCGGUCGUUUCACUUUCGACCAGCGACUUCCUUGAGGAUAUUAAGAUAGAAUGGUAGGAAGAUUCAGAGACUAGUAAGAUCAUAAAAAAAUUGGAGGAAGAAUCAAGCUCCGUGGCUUAUUACAAUUGGGACUCAAAAGAAUUACACUGUAAGGGACGCAUUGUGCUUGUGACAAAUUCUACUUGCAUCUUCACGAGCAGAAUUUAGACAAAGUUAUUUCAUAUUUAAGGUACUAAAUUAAAAAGGAGUAUGGCAUAUCACCUACAAACCGAUGGCCAAAUGGAAGUUGUAAAUAGGUGCUUGGAUGCAGCCCCCAAAGUCACCCACCAAAUAUGACUACCCAAGGAGAACUCUAGACCCAACCAAGUGUCAUUAUUGAUCGACGGAUCGAGACUCGACAAUGAUAACCCACAACUGAAGUGCUAAUACAGUGGGCGAACCUACCAAUAGAAGAUGCCACUUGGGAGAACUAUGACGACUUAAAGAUCAAAUUCCUAGAAUUCAUGAAUCAUCAGCCUCGAGGACAAGGCUGAUUUGAAGAGGGCGGGUAUGUUAGGACUCUAGCUAGGAGAGUCCUAAUUGAGAGGAAUAUUUAUGUAAAACCUACCUAAGCCGACCCCUAUUAAAGAGGUGAAGAGGCCGGCUAGGGUUAGGAGGUUGUUUCUUAGAGAAGAAUUAGGAGAUGUAAAGGAAUAGGAGUCUUGAGUAGGAGUCCUAUUAGGAGUUGGUUAGAAGUGGGAGUCUUGAGUAGGAGUCCUAUUAGGAGUUAAGGUUUAGAAGCCCUAUAAAUAGCUAUGUAUUCCUCCUCUUUUGAUAAGCAAUAGAUGAACCUUUUCGGCAGCCUUUGAGCAGCAACUUGAAGGGAGGAACCCUUAUAGAGUUCUAAGGAGGCUGAUCCCCUAAAGAGAUUAACCCCAAGUUUAGAAUCUGCAAGGGUUCUAAUAGAGUGGUGUUAUAAUACAACUUAUCAUUUAUCCACAAAAUGUACUCCCUAUGAGGCUAUGUAUGGCUGAUCUCUUCUUAUAAUCACAAAAUAUGUGUUGGGCACCUCUAAAGUAGAACAAGUAGAUAGAGAACUACAGGAUAGAGACAAAAUGCUGAAGUUGCUAAAAGAUAAUCUCACUAUAACUCAAGCAAGGAUGCAAUAACAAUAUGAUCAAUACAAAGGCGAAAGAGAAUUUUCAGUAGGAGAUUGGGUCUUCCUAUGGCUCCAGCCAUACAAGGAAACAUCAAUCCAGACCAGAGUAUCUAUGAAUCUUUCACCUCGGUUCUAUAGACCCUACCAAAUUUUAGAGCACAUCAGAGUAGUAGCAUACAGAUUGGACUUACCCGCCAGCUCCCGAAUCCAUCCAGUCUUUCAUGUGUCAUGUUUAAAGCUCAAGCUGGGACAAAAUGAGAUAGCCCAAAGCUAUCUACCAAAUAUGAUUACCCAAGGAGAACUCCAGACCUAGCCAAGUACCAUUAUUGAUCGACGGAUCGUGACUCGACGACAACGACUCAGUACUGAAGUGCUAAUACAGUGGGCGAACCUACUAGCAGAAGAUGCCACUUGGGAGAACUAUGAUGACUUGAAGAUCAAAUUUACAGAAUUCAUGGAGCGUCAGCCUCGAGGACAAGGCUGAUUUGAAAAGGGCAGGUCUGUUAGGACUCUAGCUAGGAGAGUCCUAAUUGAGUUUCAUUGAAAGGGGCAUUCAUGCAAAACCUACCUAGUUGACCCCUAUUAAUGAGGUGAAGAGGCUAGCUAAGGUUAGGAUUAGAUUAGAGGUUGCUUCUUAGAUAAGCAUUAGGAGUUUAUUAGAAGUAGGAGUCUUGAGUAGGAGUUCUAUUAGGAGUUGGCUAGAAGUAUGAGUCCUAUUAGGAGUUGGGGUUUAGAAGCCCUAUAAAUAGUCAUGUAUUCAUCCUCUUUUCUCAAUGAAUAGAUGAAUUCUUUUAGCAGCCUUUGAGCAGCAAUCUGGAAGAAGAAACCCCUAUAGAGUUCCAAGAAGACCGAUUCCCUAAAGAGAUCAACCCCAAGCUUAGAAUCCAUAAGGGUUCUAAUAGUUUCAUACAGGCACAUGCAUCUCGUUGUUCUGCAUGUGUUUCUGAUAUAUCCCAAUUUUAUUGUUCACAAUACAUUUUUAUACUCUGGUGUUUGUGGGAUAAUGUGAACAUUUGCUAGAAAUUGUAAAGGGAUUAUUUGGACCUUUGCCAGAAAUGGUAAAGGGUAUGCGCCUAGAGCCUGCGAUGUUCUAGAUUAUGUUUGGUGGUCAUUCAGAAAUAGAUAGACCAUAUUAUGUUAUGAUCCCACUUUACCUUCUAUCUAUUUGAUAUGAUAUCCAGAGCUUUGGUUAUAUACUUCUAUGUGUGCUUUGGAUAAGAAUGAAAUAAAUGAAACGUCAAAUAUGACAUUUAAGCUUCUAUUUCAUAUUUAUUCUUUGAUAUAUUUCAAAAUGCUUCUUAUGCCUUCGAAAUGUUCAUACGCCAUCGAUACGCUUUGAAAUAUUUUAUUUUCCAUUGAUAUGUUCCAAAAUAUUUCCUAUGCCAUUGAUAUACUCCGAAAUUCUUCCUAUGCUAUUGAUAUGUUCCGAAUAUGCUAUUGAUAUGCUUUGAAAUGUUUCAUAUGCUAUUGAUAUACUCCGAAACAUUUCAUAUACCUUGAUAUACUUCGAAAUAUUUUAUAUAUCGUUGAUAUGCUUCGAAACAUUUCAUACGCCCUUGAUAUGUUCCAAAAUAUUUCAUAUGUCGUUGAUAUGCUCUAUAACAUUUCAUACGCCAUUGAUAUGCUCCGAAAUAUUUCAUAUACCAUUGAUAUAUUCCAAAACAUUUCAUACACCAUUGAUAUGCCCUGAAAUACUCCUUACGUUAAUGAUUUUCUCCGAUUAGUCUUUACUCCCUUGUUAUGAAUAAAACAUGCUUCAAGUGAAAUGACAUUGUAAUUCUACAUUCGUUGAGUGGCUAUUUAUGAACUCUUGUAUCCCUGCCUUGUAUUUGGUACCUUAUUUGUUUGAAACUGUCCUCUUUUGCCAUGGAUAUGUUAGUCACUUGCUGAGCUCUAUAUGCUCACUCUAUUGCUAUAUAAUUUUUUAAGAAUAGCUUGUUGCUCGCUAGAAUGUUUAAAUUGGGUUGAGGCUAUGAAAAGUUAGAAGAUUUUAGGGCAAAUCUUUAGUGGAUGAUAAGUUUUUGUUGUAUAAGUACAUUUGGUGUCUAAUUGAAUGUUGAUGGUAAACCUAAACUUAUGAGUUUUGUAAAAGUUUAAAGAAUAUCUUAUGUUUAGGAUUUUGGAGUGUUAAGUUAAUUAGUGUAAUGAUAUGAAUAUAUGGUAAAUAUUAGUUUUUGUGAUUGUAGAGAAUGCUAUACUUGUGGAUUUAUGAGGUGGUUAUUCACUUGGUGAGUUGGCUUCAGAUUUUAUGAUUCAUCGAGUGAUGUGGUAUAUGAUUUUAAACUGCACAAGUUUUAUGAAUUGUGGAAUUAUGGAUGUGAACGACUUGAAUAUUUUCUCAGUAUCCUCAAAUAUAUGUUUGGAUCUUGGAAUGGAUUGUUGAUUAAAAUUUUAAUAUUAUCGAUUUAAGACAAGGUCACACCUCUUGAUUAUGAUAAUUCGACAAGGGGCGUGAUAGAGAUGGUAUCAGAGUAUGGUUUGAGUAUCACUAAGAUAUUUGAUAUGUUUGAUGUGCAAAAUAUGUUGAGGUCUAGUAAACUAUGAUGAUUGCUUAUGCUUUUAGACAACUAAAGAGUUAUGAACUAAAUUAUCUAACUCAUAAUUUGGAAUCGACAACAAUUAUUUUUGCUCUAAAGAUUUGGAGGCAUUACUAGUAUUGGCGGACAUUGAAGUCUUUAUUGAUCACAAGAGUUUAAGAUAUAAUUUUACUCAAAAAGAGUUAAACAUGAGACAAUGGAGCUAGAUAGAAAUUCUAGAUGAUUAUGAUUAUACUAUUUGUUAUCACCCGGGGAAAGUCAAUGUUGUAGCUAAUGCACUUCGUAGAAAAUCUACAAGUUUUAUGACUAGACUAGUUGUGAAAUAAUGGAAGUUAUUAGAAGAAAAUUUUGAUUUGAUAAGGAAAGGGCAAGACCAGACGAUGUUGAUGGCCAGUAUCCAGGUGCAAUCUUGAUCUCAUCUUUCGUCGAAAGAGGUAUAAUAAAUUUAGAGGACUAAAUUUUGGUUUCAAGGAGAGGAGAGUCUAGCAUCCCUCAUUUUUAAAAAUUUUGUAAGGGCUUAUUUAUAAUGAAGGGAUCUAAGUGUAAAUCUUAGAAAUUAGAUAUGAUUUGUAAAAGAUUUAUAUUGAGUUUUAAAAAAAAAUGGAGGACAUAUGUCACUAGCUAACCUAAGGAUGGUGCCACCUAUGUUUGUUCUAUGGAUGACACAUAGGCUUCUUUAAUGCAUGCUUACCACCUAGCAAUCCUUGUGUUAGCCAAACCUAAGUAAUUAAAGGAGAAACUAAAGAAAAACUUAACAAAGGAGCUGUAACCAGCGUAAGUUUGUGAAGAGAAGGGAAGAUGAAUUAAAGUAGAGGAAGAAGAAGCUUUGCUUUGGCUUGAGAUUUUGCUUCAAUUCCAUACAUUUAUGACUCAAAUUUUUCUAAGGCAAGAGUUCUAACUCCUUUCUAUAGAAAUCUUGAUCUCUGAUUUCAUCUUAAUUCUGAAAAUUUUGGAAGAUUUUGGCUUCAUACUUAAUAUUUCUAUCGUUUGGGAAUAAAAUUGUAAAUCUGGAAUUUUUUGAGAUUUAUCUUUCUAUAUUGUUCUAGCCAUAACUUUCUACACCGAUUUUGGAUUUAGGAGAAACAAAAUUCAUCCGAAAAUAGACUCAUAGAUAUUUCUUUUGACACUAAUAUUGAUAAAUUUGGAGUCUAAUUACUUAUCCAAACUAUUAUUUAAGCUGGCCUAAUGAAAUCUAUAAAAUAGAGAUUAUGUAGUUCUGGCCUUUCAGUACUCUCUUGCUUAUAACUCUCUGUUGGGAACUCUGAUUUAUGUGAAACAUGAUUUAUUGGAAACUACACUCAUAUAUCUUUAUUGUAUAAAUGAUUUGAAAGAUUUAGAGAAUAAAUGCCUAUUGAAUCAUCUAUUCUAAUCAAAUUUAUGAAUUCUACAAAACAAAGAUAAUAUUCUCUGACCUUUGGUUACUAAACUAUUUAUAACUCCUUGUUCGAAACUCUAAUUUAUGUAAAGCUUAAAUUAUCUAAAUCUAGAUUGACAUAUAUUUCUACUGACACCUAAUUUGUGCAAUUUGGAGUAUAAUUGGUUAUCCAAAUAAUUCAUGUAAUGUGCCUCUCAAAUUCUAUUAUAAUCAAGCAUUGAUCAAUUUCGCAUAUUCUUGUUUCAUCUAUUUGGAAAUUGAUUUCAGCUAAAAUCCUUAUUUCAGUUGAGCUUUACAUUAUUGCUUUGAAUUUAUAUAUACUCUUGUCCUUCAAUUAUUUAUAUACCUGAAUCCAUUAUGUAAAGUUCAUAUUUGUAUCACAAUAUUUCGUAUAGGCACAUGCAUUCCGUUGUUCCGCAUGUGUUUCUGAUAUGUCCCAAUUUUAUUGUUCACAAUACUCAUUUAUAUUCUGGUGUUUGUAGAAUAAUAUAAACUUUUACUAGAAAUGAUAAAGGGAUUAUUUAGACCUUUGCUAGAAAUGGUAAAGGGUAUUUGCCUAGAGCCCACGAUACUCUAGAUUAUGUUUGGUGAUCAUUCAGAAAUGGAUGGACCAUAUUAUGUUAUGAUUCCAUUUCACCUUCUAUCUGUUUGAUAUGAUAUCUAGAGCUUUGGUUAUAUGCUUCUAUGUAUGUUUUGGAUAAGAAUGAAAUGAAUGCAACAUCAAAUACAACAUUUGAACUUCUAUUUCGUAUUUAUUCUUUGAUAUAUUCCAAAAUGCUUCUUAUGCCUCCGAAAUGUUCAUACGCCAUCGAUACGCUUUGAAAUAUUUUAUUUGCCACUGAUGUAUUCCAAAAUAUUUUCUAUGUCAUUGAUAUACUCUGAAAUGCUUCCUAUGCUAUUGAUAUGUUCCGAAUAUGCCAUUGAUAUGCUUUAAAAUGUUUCAUAUGCUAUUGAUAUAUUCCAAAACAUUUUAUACACUAUUGAUAUGCUUCAAAAGAUUUCAUAUGUUGUUGAUAUGCUCCGAAACAUUUCAUACGCCCUUGAUAUACUUUAAAAUUUUUCAUAUGCCAUUGAUAUGCUCCGUAAUAUUUCAUACGCCAUUGAUAUGCUCCGAAAUGUUUCAUAUACCAUUGAUAUAUUCUAAAACAUUUCAUACGCUAUUGAUAUGCCCCGAAAUGCUCCUUUUAUCAAUGAUUUACUCUAAUUAGUCUUUACUCCCUUGUUAUGAACAAAAUAUGCUUCGAGUGAAAUGACAUUGUAAUUCUACAUUCGUUGAGUGGCUAUCUAUGAACUUUUGUAUCCCUGCCUUAUAUUUGGUACCUUAUUUGUUUGAAACUGUCCUCUUUUGUCAUGGAUAUGUUAGUCAUUUACUGAGCUCUAUAUGCUCAUUUCAUUGCUAUAUUAAUUUUUCAAGAUAGCUUGUCACUCGCUAGAAUGUUUAAAUUUUAAUAUUAUCAAUUUAAGACAGGAUCAUACCUCUUGAUUAUGAUAAUUUGGGGGGGUGCGGGGUGCGUGACAUAGUCCCUAGAGAUGGAGGCACCCGAAGAGCCUUAGGCCCUUGAGGUGGGUCGAGCACCCAAGGCCUCCUCAAGGAAGAAGGGAGGUAGGCAUACUUUAUUUGAGUUUGUGGUAAGAUAGAACGAUGAUAAUGUUAGGACCGUUUCAACACUAAGAGGGGGGAGUGAAUUAGUGCAGCCCGUAUCGGAAAGUAUUUAAGCUUAGAAAGCAAGUGAGAGUAGUAGAUAAUUGAAUCAAUAAGUAAUGACAAUGAAAAGUAGAAAGAAAGUGCAAAUCGAGUUUAUAGUGGUUUAGUCGUCGCGACCUACGUCGACUCCUGAUUUCUCUUCCGUCGAGGCCACCGGCGUUCACUAACGAUCUUUUUUCAAUGGGCAAAGACCAACUACCCUCUUAUAACUCUUUAUCCUUUUCACAGGUUUAGGAGACAACCUUUACAAGUCUCACACUUCUCUUAAAAUGAUCACAAAACUUAAGGAGGAGGAGGAUACUUAGCACUUUUUCAUAACUUUUCAAAUCAAAAUCAUAGCCCCUUUCUACUCUAUUUCUUGCUUGCCCAAGAAAAAAAGAGUGGGAUAUUUAUAGACCCUAAAUGGCUUAAAAAAUGGAGCCAAAAAAGGUUUGAUUCCAGGCUUUCAGGGUACUAGCACUACCACUACCAUUAUUAGGCGGUACCAUCGCUUGCAAUGCUACCAACUAGCUAUACCACCGCCCAGUCUGGAUGGUACUAUCGCUUGGCAGACUAACACUAGGCAGUACCACCACCUGAUAUAGUCUUGAAGAUUAUCUGGGUGGUACCACCACCGCCUGACACUGGCUAUACCAUCGUCUAAGUUUCCUGAAGACGUAUAUUGUCUCACAAGUGGUUCCACUACCUAACCUGGCAGUACCACCUCUUAGGCCAGCUUCAAAACAUUGAAUUGAGCUUUCAAUAGGCCUAAUUCAACCCUAAUUUAGGCCCAAAUGGCCCCUAAUCAAGUUGGCAUGGUUACACCCAAAACUAACUCAAUUAGACUCUAGACUACUUCAAUCUAGACAAACAUGAUUACAAGCGUGAAUCCUAUAUUAUUCGGCAUGUCAUUGGUUCAUCCGAUGCUUCGUCUAAUCCUUUAUCACACCAUCCUCUCCUUCAGCGUAUUGCCCAAUCGGCAUGUUGACCUCCCGUAAUAUCCGAUCUCCUUAGCGCAAUGUUCGAUCCUUCGGCCCGAUGCCCAAACUCAUGACAUGAAAUCCCUCCAGCACAUCGAUCAGUCCAUCAACUUGACGUCUAAUCUUCUGACAUGAUCCACUCCAGCCCAAUAUUUGAUUCUUCUUGCUUCAAUCGAUUUGUCUUUCCAUGAUCGAAGUUAAUUCAAUGUCACUCAAACACAUAUUAGAUCAUAAUUUCAUUAAUUGAUUUCAUCAUCACAAUAUGAGAUUCAAUAAUCUCCCCCCUUUUGAUGAUGAUAACCAAUUAAUGAUGGAGUUUAAACAAAACUCCCCUUAUCAAUAUGUCAUAUUGAAAUAAAGCAAACUUGAAAAAAAAAUGAUAACCUUCUAAUCCAAGUUAAAACAAUUUUAAUCAUGAAUCAUAUGCAAUACAUUAUAUCAACAUAAACAUUAAUUACAUCAUCAUCAUAAGUUGAAGUGUUGCAUGCAUAAUUCCAAAUCAUCAUACAUAAUUUUAAAAUAUAAAAUCAUCAUUACUUUGGGCAUAAUAUGCAUGAUACCAAAACAUUAAUAUUUUCAAAUCAUCAUUACUUCUCCCUCUUUGUCAUCAACAAAAGGAGAAAAGUGCAACUAGCAAGUUUUUAAAAUAUGCAAGCUAGUAAGUUUACAAGUUUUAUAUCACUUUUGAACAUAUAAGCUAUUAGGACCGAAAUUAGCACUAAGAGAGAGAGGGGAGGGGUGUGAAUUUGUGCAUACGUAAAAAUUACGUCGAGUCAAAAAUCUUCGUACGAAAAAAGCUCGUAUCGGAAAUAUAAACUUUGAAAACAUUCAUAAGAGUGUGUAGCUAAAGUAAUGAGGAAUUAAAGCAGUUUACAAUAAAGAUAAAUAGCAAAACAGAAAUGCAAACCAAGUUUUAUAAUAGUUCAAUCGUCGUGACCUACAUCCACUCCUGAUUCCUCUUCAUUCGAGACCACCAGCUUCCACUACUGAUCUACUUUCAAUAGGUGAAGAUCAACUACCCUUUUACAUUCUUUUUCCUUUUCAUGGGUUUAUGAGACAACACUUACAAGCCUCACACCUCUCUUGAAUAAUCUUAAAACUAGAAAGUAAGGAGGAGGACACUUAGCAAUUUUUCAACCUAGAAUAGCAACCCCUUUCUCCUCUAAUUCAUACUUGUCUAUGUAGGAAUAGCUGGGGUAUUUAUAGACCCCAAAUACCUUCAAAAAUGGAGCCAAAAAAGGUCUCAUCUUGGGUUUCCGGGGUACUAGCGGUACCACCGCUUGUGCUGGGCGGUACCACCACUUGUAUUGGGUGUUGGAAAAUUUAGGGGGUGACAUCACAUUGUUGAAUCUCGUAUUUUGAUGAUGAAACCACUUGAUAUGUGUUUAUAAUUUAAACUACAUUUUGAGUGAUGCAGGUCUACUCGAUCAGGAUUAGACAGUUAACGCAGGAGGAAUUGACGUUGCGCCGGAGGAGAUCACAUCAAGAUAUUGGACGGCAGAAGGCUUCGGACGUCAGGCAUCGGGCCAAGGAGAGCGAAAUUGCGCCAAGGAUAUCGGGGUUGCGGAGGUCAACCGCCGAUUGGGCAAUAAGCCGCAAGAGAGGACGAUGCACCGAAGAAUCGGACGAAGCGCCAACCAAUGACGUGCCGAGAAACAGAAUGUCAAUUCGCGUUGUAAUAAUUGUCUAGAUCGGAGUAGAGUUUUAGCUUGUGUGUGCAGGAUUAACUACGAUAACGAUGAAGACAUAAAGCAAAAUAAAGUGUCGGAGUCAAGCACGAAGGAUUCAUUUCAAGUUCGAGAGUUCGACGGAAGUCCGAAGGUUCGUCGGGAAUGCUGCCGGAACUAGCCGAGAAUGAGUAGGGAGCUUGCCGAAGGGUUUUUCGGAAGCUCACCGGAAGGUUCGUUGGAAGUUCGCGGAGCUCGCCGAGAAAGAUCGGAGCUUGCCGAAGAAGCUCGUUGGAACUCGUCAAGAUCAAAUCGUAAAGUCUAGGAGCUUGCCGGGAGUCCGCAGAAUGGUUUCCGAGAGUUUAUUGGAAAACCGUCGGAAGUUCGCCGGAAGCUCACCAGAAGAAGUCUUGACUUACGGACUUUGUAAUAGCUUAGAAAAUGUCUUUAAAUUCAUAGUUAGCACAUUACUUAGGGUUAGGAUUAGGUGUUAAUCCUAUAAACCAAGUAGGGGCCAAUUGGGCUCUAGUUCGGACUGGUUUGGGCCAAUUUUGGAGCCCAACCAGUGAGCUGAAAUAGUGUAGGCGGUGGCACCGCCUAGCACCCGAGAGCCAGGCGAUGGCACCGCCUGGGCUGGGUGGUGGCACCGUCCAGCACCCGAGAGCUGGGCGGUGGCACCGCUUGGCUGGGCGGUGGCACCGCCAGCAUCGGGAACCAACNNNNNNNNNNNNNNNNNNNNNNNNNNNNNNNNNNNNNNNNNNNNNNNNNNNNNNNNNNNNNNNNNNNNNNNNNNNNNNNNNNNNNNNNNNNNNNNNNNNNNNNNNNNNNNNNNNNNNNNNNNNNNNNNNNNNNNNNNNNNNNNNNNNNNNNNNNNNNNNNNNNNNNNNNNNNNNNNNNNNNNNNNNNNNNNNNNNNNNNNNNNNNNNNNNNNNNNNNNNNNNNNNNNNNNNNNNNNNNNNNNNNNNNNNNNNNNNNNNNNNNNNNNNNNNNNNNNNNNNNNNNNNNNNNNNNNNNNNNNNNNNNNNNNNNNNNNNNNNNNNNNNNNNNNNNNNNNNNNNNNNNNNNNNNNNNNNNNNNNNNNNNNNNNNNNNNNNNNNNNNNNNNNNNNNNNNNNNNNNNNNNNNNNNNNNNNNNNNNNNNNNNNNNNNNNNNNNNNNNNNNNNNNNNNNNNNNNNNNNNNNNNNNNNNNNNNNNNNNNNNNNNNNNNNNNNNNNNNNNNNNNNNNNNNNNNNNNNNNNNNNNNNNNNNNNNNNNNNNNNNNNNNNNNNNNNNNNNNNNNNNNNNNNNNNNNNNNNNNNNNNNNNNNNNNNNNNNNNNNNNNNNNNNNNNNNNNNNNNNNNNNNNNNNNNNNNNNNNNNNNNNNNNNNNNNNNNNNNNNNNNNNNNNNNNNNNNNNNNNNNNNNNNNNNNNNNNNNNNNNNNNNNNNNNNNNNNNNNNNNNNNNNNNNNNNNNNNNNNNNNNNNNNNNNNNNNNNNNNNNNNNNNNNNNNNNNNNNNNNNNNNNNNNNNNNNNNNNNNNNNNNNNNNNNNNNNNNNNNNNNNNNNNNNNNNNNNNNNNNNNNNNNNNNNNNNNNNNNNNNNNNNNNNNNNNNNNNNNNNNNNNNNNNNNNNNNNNNNNNNNNNNNNNNNNNNNNNNNNNNNNNNNNNNNNNNNNNNNNNNNNNNNNNNNNNNNNNNNNNNNNNNNNNNNNNNNNNNNNNNNNNNNNNNNNNNNNNNNNNNNNNNNNNNNNNNNNNNNNNNNNNNNNNNNNNNNNNNNNNNNNNNNNNNNNNNNNNNNNNNNNNNNNNNNNNNNNNNNNNNNNNNNNNNNNNNNNNNNNNNNNNNNNNNNNNNNNNNNNNNNNNNNNNNNNNNNNNNNNNNNNNNNNNNNNNNNNNNNNNNNNNNNNNNNNNNNNNNNNNNNNNNNNNNNNNNNNNNNNNNNNNNNNNNNNNNNNNNNNNNNNNNNNNNNNNNNNNNNNNNNNNNNNNNNNNNNNNNNNNNNNNNNNNNNNNNNNNNNNNNNNNNNNNNNNNNNNNNNNNNNNNNNNNNNNNNNNNNNNNNNNNNNNNNNNNNNNNNNNNNNNNNNNNNNNNNNNNNNNNNNNNNNNNNNNNNNNNNNNNNNNNNNNNNNNNNNNNNNNNNNNNNNNNNNNNNNNNNNNNNNNNNNNNNNNNNNNNNNNNNNNNNNNNNNNNNNNNNNNNNNNNNNNNNNNNNNNNNNNNNNNNNNNNNNNNNNNNNNNNNNNNNNNNNNNNNNNNNNNNNNNNNNNNNNNNNNNNNNNNNNNNNNNNNNNNNNNNNNNNNNNNNNNNNNNNNNNNNNNNNNNNNNNNNNNNNNNNNNNNNNNNNNNNNNNNNNNNCAAGCUUCUAAAAUCAGUUUCCAUUUAUAUUGCUUUUCAUUGUACGAAAGAUUUAUUAAAACCGAAGUUUUAAUCCGCUGCACUAAUUCACCCCCCCUCUUAGUGCCGCUCCGAUCCUAACACACAUAUGCAGCAGAAGAACAUUAAAAACAAAAUCCCCAAUUUCUCAAAGAUGUGUUUGUUGUCGUGCAAAGAUUGGUACGCAAAAACUACAAAACUUAAAACUGCACAUAUAAAAGAUUAUGUUACUUAAGGAGAUUGCAUAUCCAUGAAUCCCUGUAGAUCUCUAGGAGAGGGUGAAGGAGGUCAAGCGCCCUCCUAUCUAGCGGUGAUCUAUACAGUAGGGCUGCGACGAUGCUCCUCAAAACUCCAAGCCUGCUCUGAGAAGGAGAAAGGAAAGAGAAUAGGAGAGAUAAACCAAAAAGGCUCUAGCCGAUGAACCAUUGAUUCCCUCCUAUUUAUAGAGGUCCCCUAUCAACAUAACCUUAAUGGAUCCAGCCCUAUUGGGUAUUGGAUCUCCAUCGAAUUACCCAAGCCUCUUAGAUUAGUGGAUCUCUAUCCAAUAAUCUCUCAUUAGCUUUUAUUGAAUCUCAUCCAUAGGAUCUAAUAAUUCAAGGGAUUACUGGAUAUCCAAUAAGAUAGGGGCUCUGACGGAUAUCUCAUAUCCGAACCUCUACUCAUCGCAACACCUACCAUAUGUGAGUGACCCUCUAGGCCCAAUAUUAAGCUGGCCAUGAGUCAUACUUGUUAUAACUCCUUCUAUCUCAGUGAAUGAUUAUCUCCAUAAUAAUUCACUCGACUCAUCGACUGCGGACGUACUAGGCCACUACGUUGUAGUCCCUAGACGAUACAGGGGAAUCUAAUUCAUUUGACUUGUCUGUCCUCAAUUACCAUGUACCUAUAAUCCCUCAUCCAUCUAAUAUCCCAGAGACUGUAUACAAGGCAUGGUGCUAUCAAAUUCAUAUGGUUUCUACUCGAGUCAUACUCUAAUCGGAUUCUUCCAGAGAACCCUUUCACUCUCAAUCCGAAUGACCCUGACCAAGGAUUUGUUUGAGCAAGAACAUAUGGGAUAUUUCUCUCAUGACACUUAGAGUGGAUAAUCCUCUAUUGACACUCAAUAGUCAUCAUAAGAUUGGCUACCACUCCCGAUAAUCGACUAUGCUAGAUUUGGAACCUCUAGACCUAUAAGUCCAGUAUCAAAGAAUGGAGUACUCAUACAGGACAUUUUUGGUGUCUCAAGUCUAAGGACCAGAUAUACCAAUGGGACUACGGAAUCACUGCCUGACAAUAAGGCAUCAUCAACUAUCCAUCAUUCCAUAUACGGAUCAAUCAGUGAACUCAUUCUCCAAUGAGCACUUAUACUACAUCCCUAGUGUAUCCAGAUGAGCAGCUAUGAGACCAGCUAUAUCCAUCAUAUAGAUAGAUAUACAACACACUAGUUUUUCCGGUUAUCUCGAUGUCCCUCUCAAGUAACCUAUGACCGAGAUUAUUUAGGAUCUAUGUUUAAAGGCGAAUCGGUCUCAUUAUCAUGAUCUCAUCAUGAUCUGAUUCUCAUUGCACAUAUCCAUAGACAUCACAAUAUAUUCAAGCAAUAGGCUAUAUAAAGUGAUAAAAUUCUAGAUAAUAAUAAUAAGCAAAAAGACUACGUGUCAUGUAACAUGUGCCAUCACUUACGUGAUUGGCUUGCAGGGCACCUAUGACUAGCAAUCUCCCACUUGAUCUAAAGUCAAUCACCUAUGUGUCUGAUCCCCGUCAGACCCCUAUGAUACUCAAAGACAAUCUGAGACAAUACUUUGUCGGUGGAUUUACGAUGUUAUCUUCGGAUGGAACUCUUUCCACUAUUACAUCUCCUCGGGCCACGAUCUCUCUAAUCAGGUGGAACCUCCUCAGAAUACUUCUGAUGAGACCUGAGUUCCUUCACUUGAGCAAUUGCCCCGUUGUUGUCACAAUAUAAGGGAAUCGACUCCUCGUUGCCCAACAUGACUCCUAGAUCUGUGACGAACUUCUUCAUCCAGACUCUCUCCUUUGCUGCCUCUACUACAACAAUGUACUCCGCCUCUAUGAUCGAGUCAACAAUAGUAUCUUGUUUGGAACUCUUCCAGUAUAUUGCUCCUCCAUUUAGAGUGUACACAAUCCCCGAAUUCGACUUGCUAUCAUCAACAUCGGAUUGGAAACUCAAGUCUGUGUAGCCUUCAACUCUGAGGCUACUGCCUCCAUAUACCAGUAAAAGAUCCUUAGUCCUUCUCAAGUACUUAAGGAUACACUUUACUACUUCUUAGUACUCCAAUCCUGGAUCCGCAUGAUACCUACUCGUGACACUAAGAGCAUGCGCUUUAUUAGGCCUGGUACAAAGCAUGGCAUACAUGAUAGACCUUAUCACUAAGGCAUAGGGUAUCCUAUCCAUGUUCGUCCUUUCUUUAGAAGUCUUUGGGGACAUACUCCUAGAAAGCAAUAUCCCAUGUCUCAUCGAUAUGAGACCUCUCUUGAAAUUUUUCAUGCCAAACCUUUUGACAAUGGUGUAUAUGUACCUAGAUUGGGACAAGACAAGCAUCCUCUUGGAGCUAUCCCUAUAGAUCCAAAUCCCCAAGAUAUAGGAUGCUUCCCCUAAGUCCUUCAUGGAGAAGUGUCUAGAUAACCAAGCCUUUACUUGAGAUAGCAUUCCUACAUCAUUCCUAUAUCAUUCUCAAUGAUCAGUAUGUCAUUUACAUAUAACACUAAGAAGGUGAUAGCACUCUCACUUACCUUUCUAUACACACAAGACUUAUCUUUGUUCUUAACGAAGUUAUAAGAUCCGAUUGCCUCAUCAAAUCUUAUGUUUCAACUUCGGAAAGCUUGCAUUAGUCCAUAUAUGAACCUAAGCAACCUGCACACCUUAUCUGGGCAGUCCUUGGACAUAAAUCCCUCAGGUUGUAUCAUAUAUAUAUCCUCCUUGAGGUUGCUAUUAAGGAAUAUGGAUUUCACGUUCAUCUGCUAGAUCUCAUAACCAUAGUAUGCUGCAAUAGCUAAUAGAAUUCGGAUGGAUUUUAGCAUGGCUUCGGGUGAGAAUGUUUCAUCAUAGUCAACACCUUGCCUUUAACGAUACCCCUUAGCCACUAGCCUUGCUUUAUAGGUAUCUACCUUUCCAUCUACUCCGAUCUUCUUCUUGAAGAUCCACUUGCAACCGAUGGGUACAAUACCCUCGGGUGCAUCAACUAGGUUCUAAACCUUAUUGGAGUACAUGGAAUCCAUCUCAGAAUUCAUGACUUCUUGCCACUUCUCGGAGUCUAUACUCAUAAUAGCCUCCACGUAGGUCCAAGGAUCAAUAUCCUUAACAUCCUUUCCUCUAAUAUGUCCCACAUAUCUCUUAGGAGGAUAGGAUACUAUGUCGGACCUACGUAAAGUCGGAACUUAUGUGCUAGGUACCUGAACAAACUCUAGCUGUGGAGUAGUGUUUAAGCUAGGUACUCCAACCUCGCUCAAUUCUAUCAUGCUCCCACUAUCUCUGUCAAGAGUGUAUUCCUUCUCAAGGAACAUAGCUCUCUUAGCUACAAAGACCUUUUAGUCCUUAGGAUGAUAGAAAUAAUACUUAUAAUUUUCCUUAGGAUAUCCCACGAACUUGUACCGCUCCGUCCUCGAUUCCAACUUAUUAGGGUUAUGUCUUUUAAUAUGGGCUGGACAGCCCUAAAUCUUAACAACCUUAAGAUCGGGUUUCUUUCCUUUCCAUAUCUUAUAUGGUGUAGACACUACUGAUUUAGUUGGAACUCUGCUCAGAAGGUAAGCUGUGGUCUCU